rnacentral:lncRNA from 1 species
CCACAACAAUACAAGCAGCAAGGAUAGAUAUGUGAAAGAAUCAAAGGGAAAGGAUUUGACAUGAUUAAUACAGGUGAAAGGAAAAACUCGAGCUCUGCCAUUGUCUUCUCACUUUUUUCUCCAAGUUAUCUGCGUAACCCAAAAACAAAAUAAACAUGAGUGAUGAAAUCAUACAAUAUAAUAUUAUCAUACACAAUUGCAUGCAUAUUAAUGUACUUCAAUAAUUGGGUUAAACACGUGUGAGUAAUAUAUAAUUUCUUAGUGAAGAUUGAAGUUUUAAUUAAAGGAAAGAAAAAUUAGCAUACCCUUUAACUGGACUAAAUUUCUCAGAUGGAGCAAGUGUAGCCCGGAGGUGGGUUUUUGCCACAGGUAAGAAGAAGCUGAAGAGCAACUGGGACGUACAGCUUAAGGUUAAGAGCUUUAAGCUUAAGUGUAGUGCAGAGACAAGCUGCGGCUUCAACUUCAACGAGGCCCUUAAGUAGGGGACAGCAUUUGUUAGCUGCUGGGUCUCCAAGCCCUAUCUUUACUAAACCUCCCAACAAGUCAACACACGCCCCCAACUUCAGCGUGUCUAUUGGACAUGUCGCCUUCCCAGUGCCUGAUGGAGGCUUAUGGCUACCCGGGGGUGGAGGGCAAUCUUUUCCUCCUGGAGUAGGAGGGUUUGUCCCCGGAGGAAGAAGAGGACCCACAAUCGGCAAUGGUGGCAGUGGCAAUGUGGGUAGCCCUCCCACCGGAGGUAUGGGUAGCCCUCCCACCGGAGGUAUGGGUAGCCCUCCCACCGGAGGUAUGGGUAGCCCUCCUACCGGAGGAAGUGGUAGUUCUGGGACGGUCACUGGAGGUACAGGUAGCUUUGGGACUGUCACCGGAGGAACUGGAAGCUUAGGUACGGUCACUGGAGGAACAGGUAGCUUCGGAACUGUCACCGGAGGAACUGGAAGCUUAGGGACAGUCACUGGAGGAACGGGUAGCUUGGGAACAGUCACUGGAGGAACGGGUAGCUUGGGAACAGUUACAGGGGGUUUAAUGGAGGGUUUUCCACCCUUCCUGUGGUUGCAGGAGCCACAUGAGAAGGAUUGUUGGGGAAAGAAGAUAAUGCAAAUGAGAAUGAAACAGAGAGAAAGAGAUGAUAGUUUGGAUGACUCCAUGUUGAGAAGAGUGGAUGGAGGAAAUAUAAGAAAGGUUAUAUGAAUAUAUAGGGCAAGAAUGAAAAGAAGGGAUCACGUGAACAUGGGGGCUACUUCUGCAAUAAGAAGAGAAGCCCCAAAAUAAGCAUGGUUGGCACUUAUCAUAAGAAUACAAAUUCUAUUCAUGACCCAUCGCUAUAUAUCAUCACAUGUCGCCUCUCUUUUUUCACGGCUAAUUUAUAUUGGGUUUACUAUACGUAUGUACAGUAUAUAUAUAACCAUGGUUUCUGCUAAAAGUUUAAUGUAUACUAGAGUUUGAUCCGCGUGCACGUGUAGGUGUUAUUAAUUUGUAAUGUAUAAUAUUUAUAAUUGCUUUUGAAAAUCCAAUCGGUUAGAAAGUAAUCGCCAACUAGAUGAUAAUUUGCGUCUUGUGCUAGGUGAAUUUUUUAAAAAUAUAUUGUAUUUAAAUAUUUUAAUCAAUAUACAUUUGGUUAUCAAUAACCGUUUUUACCUUUGAUUAGAGGAGGGCAUUCAAGUACCAUUUGGUUCGGUUCGGUUUGGAUCUUUACGGGUUUGGUUCGGUUCGGAUCUUUGCAGAUCUCGUUCGGGCUUGGGUUUGGAUCUAAAAAUAAAUAAUAAUAUAUAACAUAUAAAUUUGAAUAAUUAAUGCCAAAAUACUUAAACAUAACAUAAAAAUUGGUUUAGUUUAAAUAUUUGGAUAAAAAAUCAAUAGAUAUUUUAGGUAUUUUAAGUAUCAUUUAGCUAUUUUAAACAUGUACUUAUAACUAUUUGUAUAUAUUUUCAAGUAUUAUGGACAACUUAAAAACAUGUUAUAUAUUUUGUAUAUUCUUUUAGACAUUAAAUUUAAAUUUUUUUAAUAUAUUUAAGUAUAUAAAUCUGGUUCGAAUAUAUUCGGAUACCUGAAAUAUUUUAGUUCGGAUCGGGUUCGGUUCCGGUUCUCUAGAUACCAAAGUUUUGAACCCAUUCGGAUAUCUAAUCAAUUUUGGUUAAAGUUUAAUACUAUUUUUAAUCGGUUUUGGUUCGGUUUUUUUAGAUUCAGAUUUUUUGCCCAACCUUAUAUAUUUUUAUUGGGACAAAAUUUUAAACGAAAAUGAUGAUGGUUCAUAUUGAUUUUGGGUAUGCAAUGAUUUUUAAACCAAAACACUUUUUAAUAUGUACUAGCCUAUUUAGUUAAUCACUAAAAUUGUUUUAGUCUCAUUUAAGGAAAACAAUGGGAUGAACUUAAGAAAAUUAACAUUUCAUAUUGUCAAUCGACACUUCCAAAUAUUCUAUGCUAGUGUUUUGACGAAUAGAAAGGGGAUUAGGGUUAAAAAAAACAAAUUUGUUGUGCAAUCCAUGUUCUCGCUAGGUGAUUUCAAUAGCUUCUAAAUAAAUCUCAAUUGUAUCAGUCUCUUGUAAGAUUUUCUAACAAUAUUAAUUAAUAAAAUCUUACACAUGCUGAACUGUUUCUCAAUUAAUAUAUAAGAGAUUAGAGUAAUCACAUAAAUCAACAUAAUACCUCUUGUUUAUUUACAAUAUAUUUAUGGUAAAUAAUUAAGAUAAUUAUUUUAUUUAUUUUAUAUGGUAUAUAAUUAUAUUUCAAUGAUCUUAACAUAAAUAUAUAGUUUAAUAUAAAUAUUUAUUAUUGAAAAUUCAUACUCAUAUAGUUUUAUUAAUAUUUGUAUAUUGAUGUAACUAAAAAUUUAAACAAUUAAACCCAAAAUUUUCAAUGUGAUAUUUUUUCGAUGCAAAUUUCAAAAUUAAAAUAUUAAGGUUUGAAUACUCUUGCAAUGCAAAUUUCAAAAUUAACAUAUUUAUGUAUUUUAAAUGGUACAUAGUUUAAUUUAAACAAUAUCAUAUAUAUAUAUAUAUAUAUAUAUUAUUUCAUAUGAAUAUUUACUAAAUAAAAAUUCAUAUUAAUACGAUUUUAUGAUCAUUGUAUCUUGUUAUAACAAAAAAAUUAACUCAUUGAUCACAAAAUUUUCAAAUGGAAUUUUAACAUUUUUUGUGAUUUAAAGUCAUUUUUAAAAAAAACUUUAUUAUUCAUAAUCAUUAAUUGUCAUAAAUAUGUUAAUCAUAUUAGGAAACACAUUAGCUUUUAUUUAAAGAAAAAAUACAUGUUUCUUAUAUUUUAGGUUUAUAUAAUGCUUUUUAGUAAUUUGAUUUUGGACCUACAAAUUAUUUAGUUGAUUAUUAUUUUGCCAUGUACGCCAAAUUGACAACUUAAUUAAAUGACAUAUCAACAAGUUUCUUUGGUAAUUAGUACAAAAUAUAUGUUACAACUUUUUAAAUGAUUAUCAAUAAUAUAUAGGAGAUUUACUUAACAGCCAAAAAUAAAUCUAAAAGGCGCGACUGUUCAGUUGUUACCUCAGGCGUAUGGCGGUGACGGGGUGGUGGAUCUGGCUCAUAGUCGAGGGGGGUGUGACAUUACAAAUUUAGAUCUCCUUGACGACUCAAUUUUUUUUGUAGAGAUUUGACGCUAAAGAUUUAUUCUAAAUAAGAAAAUGAAGCAUAUUUGUUUAAAUAGGAAAAAUCACUUAGGGUUUUCUAUAAUCCUAAUCGGUUUUGCUGAGCCGUAUUAACUAGGUCUGAAACUGGGUUGUUACAGUUCUUAAAUAUCCAAUAGAAUAUUUCCUAUAACUCUAUUAAAUUCUUGGGAAGUCUUUUUGAUGAGUCUUUUCCUUUCUCCAAAAUAAAUCUUCUGUUGAUGAUUUUUAACUUUGAAGUAAUCUAUGACUCCAGUUUGGAUGUCAGCUACUCAGCUGAAUAUCGACCAUUUAAUUCCACAAACUUGAUGUAGAAGAUCUUACUGUACUUCAAAAUGGUUUAAGGUGUUUGUCAGAUCUUUGCACCUUUAAAGUGGAGUAUGUUAACACUCCAUUCGUGAAUUAGGUUAGGGUAAAAAAACAGAACGACGCAAACUCAAAACAAGCAUAAAACUAUAAAAAGUGAUAACUGUUAAAUUUGGCGUCUGACAAUAUCGAUAAACUCCGAGCUUGUCAACGAAUAAGAAUCUGUUUUGCAGUGUCAUGCCUAACUCAUAGAACCUUAAAACGUGUAAAGAACAAUUAUCAAAUAGGCUCAAUAUAAGUUUUUUUCUGCACCAAACUCUUAUAUUAAAUUAAACAUCCGGUGGGCGAAUACGGUUACAACCCGAGAUGAAACUUAACGGCCAGACGAAAUCAAAAACUACUAGAACAAAACAUAUAAGCGUUAAAGGAGCAAAAAUACCCACAGACAUAUUUCAUUUGAGACUCUAAAACUGAUGUUCCUAAGAGACUAAUAUUGAGAUAUGGACUGACAAAAAAAACCUAAAGAAUGGGUUUUGAUGACGGUUGGUGAACACCAACACUGGUGAUACAUUGGCUUAAGACAAGUUAAAAUAUCGUUUUAACAUAUAAUUAAUAUAAAAAAGUUGCAGAAAUCAUAAUUUUUAGGAAGUAGGAAUAAUGAAAUGCCAAUACCAAAAAUCAUAAGCUCAGUUUCUUACUUCUUUCCAUAUUAAAAUACGAAACCAAGAACAAACAAAAUAUACUUCGCCCAAAAUAUAAUAGAGGUAAGGACGACAGAUGAAAUACAGCAAGACAGACACGUGAAAUUUGGGAUGCGUUUUUGUUUUUUGGUGCUUUGUUGUGUAGUUUCGUAAAAGAAAAUUAUAUGUGUGGCUGGACCAUUUAAUAUUUUUUUUUUUUGGUAUGAAUGUUAAAUUUUAUACCAUUUUAAUUUUUGACAGAUUUUACAAUAAAAACAAGUAGCAGAAAAAAAAUAAAAGCAACUAAACAACGACAAAAGCAAAAGCAAAACACAACAAAAUGCACGAAUGCAAAAACUGAUACCAAUCUCGAAUAACACAACAACGCACUUUGCAUAGGAUCGCAGUGAGCCAAGAGUAGGAGUCUCAUUGUUGUGGCUGCUAAGUUGCCGCGAGUCUACAGAGGAUUGGCCAGCCCUCAAAGCCCCUCCGGACCUACAGCUUCAUCACAUACACGCCUUUGAUAACCUGCAUAAUUAGCCCACACAACUUCCAAGUCUCACGAUGGCUCUACCGGAUACAUUCGGAGUGAACGGUUCUUAAUAACUUCCUUACCUUUUUAUCGUUUAUUUUACAAAGGAGUCCGACGACGAACUGAGAAUUUGAUAUACAAGGACCAGUUCAUAUAAUUUAUGUAUCAAUCUAUAUCACAGUACACCGUAAGGUCAAUAAUCUGGAUAACAGUGAGGCUUUAUUAAAUCAGGUUAGUAAUCAUUUUUGUUGAAAAACACUUAUUUUGUCAAUUACUUACACAAAAAAAUUAAGGUGAAGAAGGGAAAUGUCCAUAUUGGAAGAAGAGUUAAACAUAUAACUAUAUACAAAGUGUGUGACAAUUUGUCAACAAAAUGACACAAUUAAUUUUACACGCCCGUGAUCGUGUUUUUAAUACAGCAUCAAAUCAUAAAUUUGGAGUAUAGUAUAGAAUUUACAUUCUUUAACAGUAUAGUACGGAUUUUUAAUUGCAUGCAAUUUACUGUAAAUUUAUAAUUUUAUUCUAUUUUUUCUAAAAUAAUAAAACUUUUUAUCUUUAAAAUCAAAAGUAAAUGAAGAAAUAGGAUUUGCAUAAAAAGUUGUCAACGGAAUUGAUGGAAGAAGUGGAAAACUAUCAUAUAAAAUGAAGGGGAAGAAGAAAUAGUGGGAAAGGUGAAAAACAAUAAAUAGGAAAAUAAAACUAUGGGUGGUAAUUGCUACAAUGUUACUAUUAGAGGUAACAGAAGAGAAGGAAGAAGAGGAAGAUAAUGAAGAAGGCUAAGAAGAGAACGAAAAGAUUAGGACGAGGACAAUGAGGAGGAAGAUAUAUUUUUAUGUUUUUUUUUGUUUUUGCUCAAUAUCAACUUUGAUUAGACCAUAAAAGGUUUCAUACACUUGGUUUAUCAGUCUCCACUAUAGACUUUAGCCACAGUGGCUCUAUUUUUAUGUAUUAUAUACACUGAUGAUGACAUAGAAUAAUAUUUUUACAAAAGUUUGUUUUUAUCUAUUUUUCAUUGAAGAUGUACUGUUUACGACGGAAGGAAUUUUUUUAGAUUAAGAAAUUUCAUGUCUAAAAUUUUACAGAAAAUACAGAUAAAAUAACAUUAACACAUGCUUAUUUACUUUAAAUAUAUACUCUAUUCUAUAUUUCUCAAAUGGAAUAUAAUACAUUUUUUUCACUUUGAGCCGUUCGGACAAAAUACUUAUUUCUCAAAAUCUAUAUUUUUAUCUUUUUCUAGUUUACAUAUUUUUUCGCUUUCAGAAAUUGAUUCCUCUGAUUAAAAUUUAAGUUGCAGGAUAGAAUAUUCUGGUUGCACUUCUACAAAAAAUAAAUAUAAAUGAAACUUUUUUAAAUUAAAAGAGAUAUAAUAAAAAAAUACGUGUGAAAAAGAGAAAAAAAAACUGUUUUUCAGCAGUACAUAUUAUAUGUACAAUAUUCUGUCCAUCCAUUUGCCAUAGUUAUAUACUAAUUUAUAAUAAAAAAUUGGUCAUUGCUUCUAAUUUCUCUAGAAUUUACCGGGCUUAAAUCCAAAUCACAAAUACAAUAACCACACUAGCGUAUAUCAAUAAACUAUACGAAUUCACUGUUCGAGAUGGUGCUAGGCGUAACACACACACGCUUAACCCAUGCCUAGUUCUAAAAUAACUAAUAGGAAAUUAGGCGGAGAUUAGUCAGAGAUUUUUUUUGAUAUAUUAAUCUAUAUAGGCGUAUAUAUGAAAUAUGGGACACAUAUAUCACAAAGGCAAAUGGUUUAAUUGUUACAGUCUUGUCACAAUUGUCUCAGAUAAUGGGUUCGAUGUUAAAGUAAUGUGCUUUUAAACUUACUUUUUAGAUUUUCAUUAAUUGAGAAGAACUGACAAUUUUUACCUUUGUCUUUAACCUUUUUAUCUGCGAUUUGCAGAACCAAUAUAUCACGUUUACACUUUUAAUUUUCACGAUUUCACAGCAUUUAUAUGUGAUUUUUAUGGAUUUUAUCCAAAUAUAGUAGUUCUGUAACAUAAACUAUGAUUUAGCACUGAAAAUUUGACUAUGCAAAGUUUUUAAAAUUCAGUGAGUUGACUCAUCAAUUAUGACCUCCUCGUCACAGUAACCCACCUAACCGGACGAGAACUCGGCCACAUAGCGCAACUUGUUUUAAGUUUAUUUGAUAUCGGUUUUUAUACUCCUUCCGUUUUUUUACGAUGUUUUAGAAAAUAUUUUUAUUUCAAUUUAUAUAAUGUUUUAAAAAUUUUUAUGUAAAAAUUAUUAAAUCAAUUGAUCAAAAUAUUAAAAUAAAAAUAGUUAAUCAUUACUAUUCUGAACAAAUAAAACAAAAAUAUUUUUUUCUUAAUUUAUUUAUUUAUACUCAAACAUCAUAUAAAAAAACCGAAAGGAGUAACAUCUUUUAAGUACUAAAUAAUAGUAUGCUGUUUCAUAAAGGUGCAUGUUUAAAAAAAAAUAUUUUUGUAUUUUUAAUGUCUUUUUAUUAACUAAUAGUAAUUAGUUAUAAAAUUAAAAAAAAUAUUAACUGUAUUUUUUAAAUUAAUAAUCACAAAAUUAUGCAUUUAUAAUUAAAAUUUAACAUUAUAUUGUUAUUAAUAUAUGUAAAAAAUUUAAAGUAUGCGUAAUUUAGAAAGAGAGAGAGUAGCACAGUAGGAUAGUUAAUAUGAACAACUAAAUAGAGGAAUUUAACUUUUUUAAAAAUUACCUCCCACCGGCAUUGUUCCUAAUACUUUUAGUCAGUUACUAAGAGCCAGCUAUCAAUGUAUUCCAAAUGACAGAUGGAUAACUAAUUAAUUGGUCUUCUUUUGUCAGCUGCGAUAUAGCUGAGUUGCUAUGGCUUAAGUUUAAUGGCUUAGAUUCUUCCUCCACAACACUGGCCCUCACUGAUCUCCUACAGAUGGAUAACUUCAGAUUCUUUAUGGAAAUAUGUUAUGAUCCACUGCUUUUCCUUCUUGUAGAUAGAUAGAUCGCUUUUUAUGAGGUUGUGAUUUGGGGAUAUUUGUAAGCUCAAGAACUUGGAGCUUGACAGGUUGCUGCUGUGCUGGAGUUUUGGUUCGUGUACAUGUGUUACACAUGGAGAGUAAUGUGUGACACAUGUUUCGGAGAAUAAAAAGGAAACGUCAAGAUGCGAUGAUGUGUGAUAUUUCCAUAUGCUUGGUUGACGAAAUAAGCAUUAAAGGAAUGUUAUUAGAUCACAAAUUGGAAUAUUUGGUGAUGCUAAAAUAUAGGAAAUAUUAUAUUAGAUAAUAGGAAAAUAUUAUUUAAUAUAUAUGGUGGCUUUACCUAAGAUUAGGGUUAGAGCUUUCACGUUGUAAUUCUCAGAGAGAAACACAAAGGGUUUUGGGGUUUCAUAGCUGAGUGAAUUGGUAGACUUGAUCAACAGGUGUUGAGUCAAGUAAGUUGGGUUUGUUAGAAAUCGAUCCGUGUCGAGUUGUGUAAUUCGGAUCAAACAAGUCUGUAAGAGAUUGUGUAAAGGAUUUCUAAUAAAAGAUACACGAGUUUUUGGAAUCACUUUGUGCCUUGUGUUUUCGCUGUAUCUCGAUUUUACAAUUGGUAUCAGAGCAGGACAUCUAAACAAAGAAGAGUUCUUCGAACCAAGGUGAGAUCCUAAGAAGAGAAUAUGGCGAUUUUGGCAAAUAAUAUGUUGUUGCUGAAUGAUGUGAAUUAUGGGUACUGGAAAGUGAGAAUGAGAGCAAACUUACGUGGAGCUGAUGAAGAUAUCUGGACAGUUGUUCAAUCUGGAUGGGAAGAACCGUGUGUGAUGCAAGAAGAUGGCUUGAAGACACUAAAACCGAAGACAAAGUGGACUGCAACAGAGAAAAAACUUUCAAGGUUUAAUGCGAAAGCACUGGAUACAAUCUUCAGUUCUGUAGAUGGAAAGCAAUUUGAGCUUAUACAGGGAUGUGAAUCAGCUAAGGAGGCUUGGGAUAUACUACAAAAUGCUUUUGAGGGUACUACGAAAGUUAGGAGGAUAAGAUUGGAUUUGCUGGCAUCACAGUUUGAAGACAUAAGGAUGACUGAUGAUGAGAAGAUAGGAGAUUUCAGUGCAAAGCUUAGCUCCAUAGCCAAUGAAUCACAAGUUUUAGGUAAAAAAUACGAAGAUGCAAAAUUGGUGAAGAAGUUUUUGCGAUGUUUGCCUACUAAAUUUGCAGCACAUAAAGCAGCAAUAAACUUGACGAUGAACACUGAUGAACUCAAGUUUGCUGAGGUAGUAGGGAUAUUAAAGGCUGAGGAGAUGGAACUGGAAUCUAAGUUUUCAAAGCCUGCUCAAGACUCUACAGUUACAGUUGAUGAAGACAUCCAAAGAGCUCAAAAACUUGAAGAAUCUAUUCAUCUGAUGAUUCAGAAACUUGAAGAAACCAUGAAUCUCUUGUAUAAGAUGUCCAACGACAGACUGCCUAGAGAAGAAGAAAAAAAUAAAAUGCAGGGAGCGGUGUGUUUUAACUGUCAUGGUAUUGGACAUGUCAAAACAGAUUGUCCAUCAUUCAAGAGAAAAGAAAUCAAGUGCAAUGGAUGUAAUGGUUAUGGACACAUAAAAUCAGAUUGUGUGAACACAAAGAAGAUGAAGAAGAGGAGAAUUUGGAAUGACAAAAAGCCAGAAAGAAAAGAAGAUGCUCUAAAUUUUGUGGCUCUUCAUGGAGCUAUGGGGCCUGGAAAAGACAUCACUAAAGGUGAAUUUCGUGCAUCGUGUGUGUCACACACCAACUCCGAUGUGUCACAUAGCGAUGCAGAAAGUGAUAUAGAUGUGGAUCUUCUAGCUGAGUAUCAGGUUCUGUUUGGUCAAUUUGCUAAACUCAGUGAAGAAAAUAUUCAGCUGAUCAAAGAUACAACAAUGCUGAAAGCAAAAGUGAACAUUCUAGAGUUGGAAACCAACAAUAAAUCUGAGACUGGAGUGUCAAAAGAAGAGAAGGAGUCUGAUCCACAUAGUUCACAAAAGAAAAUCUCUGAGCAGGCCUACAAUCUAAAGAGUAUGGAGACUAAAUAUGAUCAGACGAAACAGCUAUUGAAUGAGGAACGCGAGAAAAGUCAGCUGCUGCAAAGAGAACUCAGUGAAAAUUACAAAAAGUUAAGGAUGCUGAACAGAGGAUCUGCAACUUUAGAUCAUAUAUUAUCAGUUGGACAACCUCCAAAGGUGAAUUGGGGCUUAGGAUACAAGGGUGCUGCUCCAAAAGAUCAAGCUAUUCCAGUCGAUGAUAUCAAGUUUGUAAAAGGUACUCCAUCUAACCCUGAAAGUAGCUCGAAAGCUGAGAAAAGACAUACAUCUACACCUGUGAAAAAAAGAACCUAAUGAUCAGACAAAACUACACUCUCCAAAGCCUGCAAUAACUAGGACGAAUGGUUGUUUGUUUUGUGGGAAUCAUGGUCAUAAGGUUGAUUUCUGUUAUUCUCGAAGACACCAGAUUGAGCGAGCUUGGAGGAUGAACCUUUGUUAUGUGGAACCUAGAAGGUGUGGAUAUGUAUGGAUAGCCAAGAAGGAUCUGUAUCCCAAGUUUACGAAAGGUGUGUCACACGAGCAUACCAAUGUGUCAUACACUCGAAUGGUUGAUCAAUAUACUGAACUUGAAGAACCAGUUCGAUGGCGUAGAAGGAGUUGAGGGUUUUGAUGGUCCAACAAGUAUCAUGAAGUUUUUCACAGAAUUUUCCACUCAAACAGGGAGAGAUGGUACUUGAUUCAGGGGGAGUUUAAGUUAAUACUUUGAUGGGAUGUAUGAUGCAUAUUGUGCUUAGAGGUUAUUGAGCUUGAGUUGUAAAACUCACUGAAAAAGGGGGAGAAUGUAAGCUCAAGAACUUGGAGCUUGACAGGUUGCUGCUGUGCUCGAGUUUUGGUUCGUGUACAUGUGUUACACAUGGAGAGUAAUGUGUGACACAGGCUUCGGAGAAUAAAAAGGAAACGUCAAGAUGCGAUGAUGUGUGAUAUUUCCAUAUGCUUGGUUGACGAAAUAAGCAUUAAAGGAAUGUUAUUAGAUCACAAAUUGGAAUAUUUGGUGAUGCUAAAAUAUAGGAAAUAUUAUAUUAGAUAAUAGGAAAAUAUUAUUUAAUAUAUAUGGUGGCUUUACCUAAGAUUAGGGUUAGAGCUUUCACGUUGUAAUUCUCAGAGAGAAACACAAAGGGUUUUGGGGUUUCAUAGCUGAGUGAAUUGGUAGACUUGAUCAACAGGUGUUGAGUCAAGUAAGUUGGGUUUGUUAGAAAUCGAUCCGUGUCGAGUUGUGUAAUUCGGAUCAAACAAGUCUGUAAGAGAUUGUGUAAAGGAUUUCUAAUAAAAGAUACACGAGUUUUUGGAAUCACUUUGUGCCUUGUGUUUUCGCUGUAUCUCGAUUUUACAAUAUUAACCGACCUCAGUGUGUUGACAAAAACGAAAAUUACAACCCACAUGUAAUGUCUGAAGCUAAAAAGGUUGGAGUGGAACAAAUUUCCAGAAAUUUAUGGUACUUGUAAUACCUUUUGUCCCGUUGAUAUCAGUAUUUUCGGAUAUCUAUACGUUCCAUAAUAUAUUUUGGAUAUUUGAUCCUAUGUGAAAAAUCUUAUAAAUAACAAAAAAAUGUUUUGAUUUAAAAAAAACAAAACAAAAAAUGUUGAAAAGAUUUCCAAAAAAUGUUGAAAACAUCUCAUAUAUAUUAAAAUAGUAAAUUCACAGAUUCAAAUAUAAACUUUUAAAUUUCAUUUAAAAUCUACUAUUACUGAAUUUGUCAUUUCAUAAACUACUCUGAAAUCAAUUUUUUUAUAAACAUUUUAAGGGGCAUUAUUGGAUUAUGUAUUUAUAAAGAGUUAAUAAGAUUUAAAUUUUGUAAUGAUUCUAGUGUUAUUCAAUUAAUGCUUUCCAAAACUAUGUUAAAAUUUUGUGUUAUUAGUUUAUGAACUUGUAACAAGUUGUUAUGAGUUUUAAAAAUCUGGAAUUAUUAGAUUUAUUAUAUUACAAAUCAACAAAAGUUUUGUAUUAUUCAAAAAAAAAUGAAAGUGCGGACUUUGUCAUUGUUUUCAAAUCUGGUGUUAUUUGUUAAUGAUCUGUAAAACUUUCUUCAUAAAAUCUCUUUAUCAAAGUAUUGCACAUCAAUCAUGUAUUCUUAAAAUAUUUUAUAAUUAAAAUUUGAGUUUAUUAUAAAAAACAUCAUUUAUUCUUUCUUCUCCAUUUUUCCUGUGAAUAUUUUUUUUUUCCUAUGAAUCUUUUCUAUUCAUGCUCUUGCAUUAUCCUAUAAAUCUGGUCACACCACAUAUCAGGAAGCUAUGUUACUGAUGUUCGCAGAACAUAGAAAACAAUUUCACGCACUACGCAAGCUAACUUGUGUGUCGACUAAGGUGAUAUUCACGUUUGCUUUGUGAAGAAUUUAUUGCAAAGAACAUAAUUGACAUGUGCUGCUGGGGUUGGGGAUUUUUGAAUUGUGAUAUAUGGAAAGACUUAAAAUGAUUGAUUUGGAUAUUUAUAUUAUCAAAGUUGACUUAUCUUUUUCGUCACACAUCUGUUUAAAACUGCAGAAUUAAGCGUGCUUGUGUUACAGUAGUAAAAAAAAUGAAUGACCUAUCGGGAAGUGAUACGCGAUAGCGUGCGAGUGAAACCAAAGCACAUAGAAAUGUCAUAUGGUGAUUGCAGGGUCAAUAAACAAGAUUUUGUAGCCUUGGAAAAAUUACGGACCGACCGUUGGAACGGGAUGGAACCCACGGACCGAGAGAGCGGGCGUGGGUCUCCUAAUAGUCAUGGACGGUCGGGCAUUAUAAGUGAUAUCAUAGCUGGUUAGCCAUCUCGGUUCUGACCCGAUAAAGAUCUUGAGACCUGUUCUGGGGCGUAGCAAGGACGUUGCGUUCUUUGAGAGGGGGUGAAUUAUAACAUCCCGAGUAAUGAUAUAUGGAAAAGCUUAAGAAGAUUUAUUUGGCUACCUAUGUCACCAAAAGUGAUUUACCUUUUUUGUUACACAUCCGUUUAGAACUGCAGAGUUAAGCGUGCUUGGUUUGGAGUAGUGAAAGGAUGGAGGACCUAUCCGAAAAUAAUUCGCAAUAGUAUCACAAGAAAAAAAUCAUGUGGUGAUUGCAGGGAGUAAACAAGAUUUUGGAGCUUUGGAAAAUUAACGGACCGACUGCUGGAACGGAAUGGAAUCCACAGAUCGAGAGAUCGAACGUGGAUGGUAUAUUAGCCGUGGACGGUCGAAACAUUAUAUUAUUAUCCAUGAAAAGCAGAGAUUAGCUAAGAUAAGGGAUUUUAGUGAUGGAUGAAGAAGAUGCAUCAAUGUCAAAUCCUUCUAAUCAACUCUUUGCCAUUACGAAUGGUUGGAGAAGUUGCUGAACUAUAACGCUAAAUUAGCGGCCAUUUGUAUAUGAUAGUGAAUAGAAAAUAAUGGCUAAUAACAAACACAACAACAUAUAUAUUAUACAGUAUUUAAAGAAUUAUCUAAAACUCUAGUUGAUAAUCAACAAAACUCUUCAGCAAAAUUUUAAAAAUCUAAAAUGUCAGCAAAAUUCUUUUCAAGUUUAUUAAAUUAUUUAUAUUUAAAAAUCAGCAAAAAAAAUUUAAAUCACAAACCAAUAACAGCCCUUAAGUAGUGAAUUUUUAAAGUGGUUAGGUGAUUUUAGAGUGUUUGAAUAUAGUUUUUCGUUAAAAAAAUAAAAAUUCAAAUCUUAUAGUUUAAAAAAAUCAUAUUAAACUUUCUAAUUUAUAUAAAAUCAUUUUAAAACUCAUUAAAAAUCAAAUCACUACAAAAACAAUUCAUCAAAUACACCACAGAGAAAAUUUCUUCAUUAACUAAAAAUUACCUAAAGAAAAAACUUUUUUUUUUCAGAAACAAUCAUAAAAAUAAAUUUCAUUUCUUGUAAUGCUUCUUUCUGUUCUUGUGGUGUGCCUAUGAUGAUCUCUCCUUAGACUUGUGGGCACACCUAUUAAACUGGUAGAACGUUACUGAUCCUACAAUCACUACGUAAUAUUUUUUGAAUUAUUUUUGGGUUCGCCCUAGGGGGUGAACCUCAACAAAUAGAAUUUCAUUAUUUCAAAUUCGAUAUUUUCUAAAAAAAAAAACAAAAUAUUGUCAAGUUAUAUUAUAUUUUUAAAAUAAAAAUGUAAAAAAUAAAAAAAAUAGUAGAUACAAAAAAAAUAUUUGUUUUUAAAAUAUUGUUAACGUCGUCGUCAGCAAAACACUAAACCCUAAAUCCUAAUCCCUAAACUCUAAAUCUGAAACCCUAAACCCUUGGAUAAAUCAUAAAUUCUAAAUCAAAAACACUAAAAUCCUAAAUCCUUGAGUGUUUUAGUGUUUAGUGUUUUUGAUUUAGAGUUUAUGAUUUAUCCAAGGGUUUAGGGUUUAUCCAAAGGUUUAGGGUUUCAGAUUUAGGGUUUAGGGAUUAGGUUUUAGGGUUUAGUUUUUUCCUGACGACGUUAAAACUAUUUUUUUUGUAAUUACUACUUUUUUGAUUUUUGAUUUUUUUAUUUUAAAACAUAAUAUAACUUGACAAUAUUUUGUUUCCUUUUAUAAAAGAUAUCAAAUUUGUAAUAACAUAAUCCUAUUGGUUGGUUCUAGGUUCACCCUAGGGGAUGAACCUAAGAAUAAGUCAUAUUUUUUCCGUUCUUUGGGUUGUCGUUUCUCUGAUUUUCUUAGGGUAAUAAGAAAAUAAAAUAUUUCUAUAUAUGACCAUUGCAUCGCUGUGCAGCCAUUCUAAGUUCUCCACUUCUUGCUCCAUUAAUUCUAUGAUUAUGUCAUCUUCUAUCAUUUCCCUAGCUCAUGUGGACACAGAUUUCACUCGCAUGUCUGAUUGGUCGUACUGAAUUAUCACAUAAAGGAUUUCCUCCCAUUAUCAGAUUGACUUUUUUUCUUGAGGAUUUCCUCCCAUUAUCAUAUUGCAUCUGAGAUCAUGGCAUCUCAAUCUCCCUCUAAGGUGCGCUUGUCAUCAUUAUUUUUUGGAGAGAUUUUUUAAGUUGUGCUUAACCUUGUUCGUGAAACUUGGAAUAAAUGAAGUUUUGAGAAGUCGUUACAUUCUUCGGUGGUAUGUCCCUUCGGUUGUGAUAAUCACAUAAUUUGUUGGAGUUUUCUUUUCGCAAUCUUCUCUGUUCCAUGUAUUUGAUGUUGGUUUGCUUGAUCGAGGUUUUGAAGUUUCAUUUCUGAAUCGCCAUUGGUUUUGCUUCCUUCGCUGACCUUGCAACUCUGAUCUCUGGAGUUUCCGUCUCUUUUUGAUUCUCCAUGUCUUCUUCGUCAGUCGUCGUUGUCUUCUUGUGCCUUGUCCUUAUAUUUAGAUAUUGGCGCUUGAUUUUUAGAGAAUGUUUUAUUUUGUCUUCUAUUUUCAUGUUCUUCAAAACCCGGUGAAAAGCGUCUUCCAGUGUGAUUGGUUUGUUAAGUAGAAGCUCUUCGCAGAAGCAUGGCUCAUGCCAUAAGGCAUUUCUCAGUGCAUAUAUGUUCGCGCUAUCGCUUACGACCAUAUUGAAGAGGACUGUUUUGAACCUUCCAAUGAAGGAGCCGAGUGACUUUUCUUCUUUUUGUGGCAUUGUCCAUAGAUCGGUGUCAAAAGCUCCUCAUAAACAUAGAGUAGUGCUUCAUAAACACAGUUGACAGCUGGUUGAAAUUGUUGCUGGUGUUGGCCUCCAAUCGUGAACACCAAUUGAGAACUGUACCUGUCAAAUUAUUAAUGACGAAUUGACAGUAGCCGGUUCUCCAUUGUUGAAGAGAGUACUACCCCAUUGCGAAGCAAAAGGCGGUCAUUUGAGCUUGGGAUCUGUUUUUACACUGUAUGGAGGGGGAGAAUCUUGAGUUUGAUGUUUGGAAUGGGAAUGACAUCUUCUGUUUUCUUCUAUGACUAUGUCCACUUAUGUGGACAAUCUUGUGGGCCGAUAGAACUGAGAUGCAUCAUUUGGAGUUUGGGUUGACGUGCUAAAUCUCGUUUGAGACCUCUAAUCACGUUAUGGGAUCACUUCUUCAUCCUCUUUGAUUGAUACUUGGUUGUUAUUUGUUUUGUUGACUCAUGAUGAGGUCGUGCAUCCUCCUAUAGCAACAUUUUGUGGGGUCUUAGGUGACAGAGCCAUUAUAAUGUAGAUCUGAGCUUGUUGAUCUGCUUGGGUAUGGGCGAUUUGUUCUAUACGUUGCAUAGCUUGCUGCCACGCGGUAUCAUCUUUACUUGCACGUUGAACCAAAUCAGAAACAAUGGGUUGUAAUUUUCUGGUACUUGGGCUUGUGAGGCGUUCAUAUCAAUGGCUGGUGCUGCUGGUAGCUUUGCCGGUUCUGGUGGGAUGAGUAGUCCGUCUGGGCCGAACUGAUGUGUUCUGAGGGUUUGAUUGAUCAAAUUUCUGUUUGAGUCAAGUUGCAGAGUCUGGGUCAAUGGUGUGCCAUAUGGGUUAAAUAGUUGCAAUCCGUUCUGGAAUUGUUAAUGUUCAAGUUGUUUCAUGUAGCACUAAAUGCUUAUUUUCCAUUUAUUGUGGUUUGUGUUUCACGUCAGAAUCUUUAAAUGAUUUUUAUAUUGGAUUUUCCCUCUUUCUAUCAGCCAAUGAUGAAUCUCAAAAUUCACUCAGAAAUAUGAUACAAAAUUUUGGUUGCAUAUAUAAGAAGUAAUUUCCGAAAAAGUAUACAUACUAGAAAUUAGGUAUGAAAAAUGUACAUUUCAUUGAUUAUGUGAGAAGAUUUAACUGCAUAGAAUUACGGGUAUCAAUUAAGAAGAGAGUGCAAGAGAUGGAAAUUAUAGAUUUGAUAUCAAAGAAUUUCGGUCUCCCUCUCCUUUCUUCGUGGUCUCAUCUUUAUAGAUCUUGAGAAGCGAAUCGUAACAGUUACACGAUCUUCGGCAAACAUCAAGUGUUUUUUUUUAUCAAAUCAUCAAGUGUUUUUAUAGUUAUCUUUUAAUGCCUUCAGCUCGUUACGCUUUGGUUUGGCUGUGUCAGCUCAGCAAUAGGCCAUUUUCUGAGUUCAUGAUGGGCCUUCGACUUUCGUAACCCCUUAUAUAUUAAUCGAGAGAAACAUUACAAUAUUGUUUUGUAGCCACAUAUCACCAUGAAAAUGAAAUUUAGGAUUCUUAGAGAAAUUGGUUGGUCCAUCUUAACUUAUAAUAUACUUUUUAUUAUACUAACUAUUAAGUUGAUAAAUAGUGUACAAAAGAAUAUUCUCGCACUUUCCUUAAAUAAAAACUACAGAAUUGCCUAAAAUGAUUAACGUAUAUAUGACAAUCAAUAAUUAUGAAUAAUAAAUAUUUGAUAAUAAUUUUUGUAUCUUAGCUUUUUUUUGUUUAAUUUUAUAUCAUUAAAAGAUAUUAAACAACCACAUUAAUCAUAUAAUACAAUUUUUUUUCUUAUAUGUUAUAUUUUGAGUUUUAAAAUGACUAUAAAUUAUUAAAAACGUUAAAUGUGUCACAAUAAAAUUUUGUGAUCUAUAGUUUAAUUUUUUUUUGGUAAUAACAAGAUAUAAAUGACCAUAAAUCAUAUGAAUGUGAAAUCUCAUUUACUAGACAUUCAUAUUAAUAUUAAUAUAUUUUAAAACUAAACUAUAUAACAUAGGAAAAUCCUUAAAUAUGAUAAUUUUUCUAAAUUUGUAUUGAAAAAGUAUUGAAACUUUAAUAUUUUUAAUUUUAAAAUUUGCAUUCAAAAAAUCGCACAUUAGAAAUUUUGUGUUAUUAUAUGAGUAUGAAUUCACAAUAAUAAAUGUUUAUAUUAAAAUAUAUUAUAUAUUUAUUUCUAUGUCAUUGAAAUUUAGUUAUAUACCAUAUAAAAUAAAUAAAAUGAUUGUUUUGAUUAAUUUGCCAAAAAAAUAUCGUAAAUAAACAAGAUAUAUUGUUUUGAUUUAUGUCUUUACUCUAAUUUAAUUAUAUACAUAAUACAUAAAUGAAUACAAAUAAAUAAUAAUAGAUAAAAAUUAGUUUUAUAUAUAACAUUUAAUCCGCACAAUUUGCGCGGAAGUCUAUAUAUAUGUAGACUUCUUUUAUUACGUGUAGACUUCCAAAGGAUAGAAACGUAAAAUACAUUUAUGUUUUUUGUUUGGUCAUAAGGGUGAAAUAGUACUUACACUACUCCUUUAGGUUGGUUUUGCAUUUGACUGAAAGUGGGGUACACUUUUACAAUUGACUUGAAUAUUUGAGUUGGUUUUAGCAAAUGUUCCCUUAAAAUAAUCAUUGAAUGAAAAAAAAGGUAUUAUCGAUGGCUAUUAGAACUUAAUGAUACAAUGUUUAUUUUAAUUGACAUAGGAAGCAGUAAUGUAAAUUUAAAAACAGCUGGUAGAUCAGUUUUAAUAUUUAAGUUUGUUAUAAAUCAUGUUUAGAAGCAGAGUAAAGUUAUUAUUAUUAUUAAGAGCAAAUGCUAAAGUCUUAAAACAAAGAAGCAGAAAUUAUAAAUAAAAUGGUAUAAUUUUUUACGGAGAGGGUGGCAGAUGUGAUGAGAAUUUCUUCAGUUAGAGAGCCUGAAAUUUAUUUUGAAAUAAAUCAAUGAACAUAACUUAGUAACAUGAAUCAAUUUACUUAACUAAUAGAAUAGGGAGACGUACUUGAAAGUAGCGAGAUAUUCAUCAUAAGGGAAUGAGUUUUAACACUGAUUCAUUUCUGUUGAUAGCUCGAGUACUGCAUAGGAGAUAAAUGUGAAUUAUUAGAUAGAUAACCCCUAAAGAAACUUUCAAUGAGAUUCUGAGUUUAAAUUUUACUUACUGUCAUAUGAACAAAGGCGGUUGAAAAUUUCUUUGUAGACUAUGUUCUUCACUUUUUGUUUGUGUGAGUCUUCGCCUUUGAUGAUUUUUAGUCCUGCUUUGCUUGUUACAUGUGAGAGGGCCGCAUAGAGUUGACCAUGUGCGAAGACCGGUCUAGGUAGAUCUAUGAUAACCUCUUUUAAGCUUUGCCCCUGGCUUUUGUUGAUAGUCAUUGCAUAACACAAUCUGAUAGGGAAUUGUCGUUGACGUAAAGUAAACGGUAGCUUUGUUUCACCAUGCAAGAGGACAAUUCUUGGGAUAAAAACUUCUUUUCCAAUGUGUGAGCCAGAUAUUAUAUUUGCCUUAAGCAUUCUUUCGCCUAUAUGGGUUAGGAUCAUACGGGUACCAUUACAUAAUCAUUUUUUAUGAUUUAUGUUUCGCGGAAGCAUUAUCGGGGCCCCAACUUUGAGAGUGAGUUUAUGAGAAGGCAAUCCUGGAAACUCCAUGGAAUUGAGAUACUCAAUCGCGUAUAAAGUAUCAUUUUGAUUAGAUUGAGUUUCCGAAACCUCAAAGCUAUCGUAACUGUAGUAGUCUUUUGACUCCCCGUCGGUUUUGGAGAUUGUAUAUGCAUUGAUUUCAUCGAAUGUAUCAUUUCAGGGUGUAAGUAUAGCUUUAUCAGUGUAGGAACUCUGGGAGGCCUUUAUUUUGUUGACAUCACCAAACGCAGAAUCGAGAACUUGUUUUAAUGACUCAUCCUUAGUCUUUUGGACCAAUGAAUUGUCGACGAUUAUCAUUUGGUCAUGGUAGGCAUCAUCCUCAUCUUCUUGUCCUGAUUCUGGACGACCUUCUCCGACUUUGAGAAGCCACUCAGAGAACUUUGUAAAAUAUCUAUAGACGGUUAAUAAAUAAUGUAUUCAUAAUAUGUGAGUUUAAAAAAAAAAUUAAUACAGUAAUAGAUAGUGCAGAAAAUUAUUUAAAAAAGUUUAUCAUAUAUUAAAAAUUAGUAUUUAGCUAAUUAUUAAAUAUUUCUUAAAAAUAAAAAUAAUUUAUUUUAAUGGUUUUUGAAUUGAUAAUAUAUGUAUAUACUAUUUAAAAAUUAUUAGGCCCGCGAGUGCAAGCAAAACACCUAUCAUUCAUACAAAGAAGAAGAAAUUCAUACGAUAUUAUAGUUGUCAUACCUACAAAACUUCUAAUAGUAUAGUUAGUUAACUUUUUAAUAAUAUAUGAGAACUCCAGCUUCUAUUAUAUGUAGUAAAUAAAAAAAUAACUAAAAUACAGUUCUUUUUAUAAAAUCAAUACACAUGUAUAAAUUACUUUUAUGAUAGAUGUUUGGAAUCAUUAAUUAAAAAAAAUACUAAAAUACAGUUCUUUCUAUAAAAUCAUUAUUUAUUGCCUUUAUUUAAAUUUGUAAAUAUAUUUCUAAACUUAUGUACGAUUUUAUAUUUGUGAUUUUAAAUUUUAAAAUAAAUGUUAAUGGGUGUCAAGUUGCAUUUUCACAUAUAACCAUUAAUAGACUGAAAAUAUAUUCAUAAGAGUAAUUAUUUUAAGCAUAGACGUGUACAACAACGAUUUUGAAAUCCUUUUUUAAAAAUAUAAGUCUUUCGAAUUGUUUCACAUUGCUUUUAAGAUUUAAUUAGGUUAAUAUUAUUAAAAAUAAUUUGAUUUUUUUCUUAUUUUUGCAAGUAUAUAAAAAUAAAAUUGUGUAUACUUUUAACUAUCUUGGUUCGGUAUAAGUUUAAGUGAUAACAACUUUAGGUUCUAGUUAUUCAAGAAUUACGUAAUAUAUUAUAUUCUAUAAUUUUGAUACUAUACGGUUUUGUAGUGUAUAGAUUUACAAUAUAAUCAUAUCACAUCACAUAUUUCUCCAACAUAGUUAUUUGAUGUUAACAUAAACAAAUAAUUUUGACAGAAAGAAGAAAGAUGAUAUCAAAUUAUCAGACUACAUUAGAAUAUUUGUAUUAUAUUAAAUGCAGUCAAUUUACAAUAUGCAUAGGUUUGUAGAUAUGUCACAGUCAAUAUUACAUAAGUAUCAUGUGGUAGAGUUAUUAUAUAUUAUUAUAGAUACUAUGAAAGUAAAUGUUUGUCGUACACAGCCCACUGUAAAUGAAAGAAAAACGUGAAGCCUAGAUGUGACUGAAGCCCAUCUGAUGUGUAAAAACGAAAUGAGCUGAUUGGUCGAUUAUUUUUGAUGAUGUGGACAGCCUAAUUGCUCACGAUAUGCAACUUUUAAUAUAGUAUAGAUCUUUUAAUGCCUUCAGCUCGUUACGCUUUGGUUUGGCUGUGUCAGCUCAGCAAUAGGCCAUUUUCUGAGUUCAUGAUGGGCCUUCGACUUUCGUAACCCCUUAUAUAUUAAUCGAGAGAAACAUUACAAUAUUGUUUUGUAGCCACAUAUCACCAUGAAAAUGAAAUUUAGGAUUCUUAGAGAAAUUGGUUGGUCCAUCUUAACUUAUAAUAUACUUUUUAUUAUACUAACUAUUAAGUUGAUAAAUAGUGUACAAAAGAAUAUUCUCGCACUUUCCUUAAAUAAAAACUACAGAAUUGCCUAAAAUGAUUAACGUAUAUAUGACAAUCAAUAAUUAUGAAUAAUAAAUAUUUGAUAAUAAUUUUUGUAUCUUAGCUUUUUUUUGUUUAAUUUUAUAUCAUUAAAAGAUAUUAAACAACCACAUUAAUCAUAUAAUACAAUUUUUUUUCUUAUAUGUUAUAUUUUGAGUUUUAAAAUGACUAUAAAUUAUUAAAAACGUUAAAUGUGUCACAAUAAAAUUUUGUGAUCUAUAGUUUAAUUUUUUUUUGGUAAUAACAAGAUAUAAAUGACCAUAAAUCAUAUGAAUGUGAAAUCUCAUUUACUAGACAUUCAUAUUAAUAUUAAUAUAUUUUAAAACUAAACUAUAUAACAUAGGAAAAUCCUUAAAUAUGAUAAUUUUUCUAAAUUUGUAUUGAAAAGUAUUGAAACUUUAAUAUUUUUAAUUUUAAAAUUUGCAUUCAAAAAAUCGCACAUUAGAAAUUUUGUGUUAUUAUAUGAGUAUGAAUUCACAAUAAUAAAUGUUUAUAUUAAAAUAUAUUAUAUAUUUAUUUCUAUGUCAUUGAAAUUUAGUUAUAUACCAUAUAAAAUAAAUAAAAUGAUUGUUUUGAUUAAUUUGCCAAAAAAAUAUCGUAAAUAAACAAGAUAUAUUGUUUUGAUUUAUGUCUUUACUCUAAUUUAAUUAUAUACAUAAUACAUAAAUGAAUACAAAUAAAUAAUAAUAGAUAAAAAUUAGUUUUAUAUAUAACAUUUAAUCCGCACAAUUUGCGCGGAUCUUAAACUAGUCUUUCUUUUAAGCCUUAGUGAUGUCGUACUAGACUUUUGAACCGGGUGUGAUGUGGGAUGAACCCUACCUCCAAGAAAAGCCUCAUCGUGGCAUAAAAACCCACAUUGUUUUCCAUGGAUCCUCGGCCUCAUCGUUUUGGUGGCAUAAAAUGGACUUAAGUUUUAUAAAACAUGUAGUUUCACUACUUUCAAAAAUAUGGAACAUAGAAAACAUGUUCACGCAUUACACAAGCUAACUUGUGUGUUGACUAAGGUGAUAUUCACGUUUGCUUUGUGGAGAAUUUAUUGCAAAGAACAUAAUUGACAUGUGCUGCUGGGCUUGGAGAUUUCUUGAUGAAGUUAUUAUCCAUGAAAAGGAGAGAUUAGUUAGGAUUAGGGAUUUUAGUUAGUGAUGGAUAGUAUGUGUCCACCACCCCUAUGUUUACUAUGUGUCCACCACCCCUAUGUUUUAAUAGUCGAACCUUGUUCAAUGAUUUACAUUUUACAUGUUUUUCUUUUUCCUUGUUUUCAACGCUGUUGUUACCGCCACCUCAUUGUAAAAAUAAAAAAAAAUAAAAAUAGCACGAAUUUUCCCGACACGGAAAAAAAAAAAAAUAGAAGACGAAUCUUCAAAAGGUUUCUACAUGAGUCCUUCAUUAGCCCAACACGUUUUUGCUAACAGAAGAGGAAAGUGCUUUCUUAAUUCAAAGUAGUACUGUACAGUCAAGUCAAAGCUACAAGGUUUGGUCUUCUCUCCCUCAAACUUUUCUGGGUUUCUUGAAACUGAUCUGCCUUAACAUGUUCGGGUCAACAGGGUCUUGGUAUCGCAAUCUUGAUUUCGUUUACUAGUAGAGACCUUUGAACCCAUAAAUUGAUGUCUUAGAGUCUUUUUUUUUUUUUUUUUUGCUCCGAUCUUUGCUAUGGUUUGAUUGGGAAUUGAGCAAAAAAAGGUUUCAAGAGAAUUGUAAAUGUUUUGAUUUAUAUAGGUCAAAUAUCAGGAAUAUGACUUAUUGAGGCUGAGUCUUGUGUAUUUUGAGUAUUUUGUUGAUCAGUUAUGGGUGGAAAUGAUUGGAGCUUCACAAGAUUGGCGUUCACUGCUUUGUUAAUGUUAUUGCAUCCCAAGGAAACUUCAUCCUUUGUGGGCUCAACUGUUUGUCAAUCUGAUCAUUUUACCUACAAAAAGGAUUAUCAACGUGGGAGUUCAUUCGCAAUAAACGGGAAUCCAGUGGACAGAAUCCACUUUUGCGAAGCCAUGCUGAUUCACAAAGCCAAAGGUUGUGUCCUUGGGGACUCUUUGAGAGACUUUUGCUAUCUACUAGGUAUGCGCUUUUUUUCAGAGAAUUAUUUUAAGCUUCUUAUUUCUCACAUCCUACCUAACUGAGUUGCUUCAUUUAAACUGCUUCUCCUUUAAUGCAGGAGGGAGAAGGUUUCUGGAAGAAAAACAUGUAGAAGAUUCUGAAAACAAUGAAGCUGAAUCUGAAAAUCGCCAUGUGAAAGUCAGCUUGGCAGCAAGCGGGUUUCUUCUCUUCUGCUGUGCGAUUUGUUGUCCUUGCUUCCAUAAGGAGAGGAAAGCAAAUAGUCACGAAGUGCUACCCAAGGAAUCUAACUCAGGUGAACAAAUAUAUUAGUUAUUUUAAAUAUAGCUUUUAUUUAUUUAUUUUUUAAUAUCUUUGCUAAAUGUUAAGCUAUAUUUGACGUUGAGGGUUCAUAUAUACUAUGACAGUGCACCAAGUUUCCUCAUUUGAAAUGAGCCCUUCUUCUGAUAAGAUUCCCCCAAGUCCGUUUCGGGCACCACCAAGUCCGUCCCGGGUACCUCAAAGCCCAUCUAGAUAUGCUAUGUCCCCAAGACCUAGCAGGAUGGGACCCUUGAGUCUGACCAUGAGUCAAAUUCAAGCGGCAACUAACAAUUUCUCAGACGACAAUCAGAUUGGUGAAGGAGGGUUUGGGAUAGUCUAUAAGGGCAUUUUAGAGGAUCGCCAGGUGGUUGCCAUUAAACGAGCAAAAAAGGUAUUUUUGAUACUUCCAGUUUUCUUGUGGUAACAGAGAUAUCACAAGUUACUCCUAAUCGAAAUCUUGACACUAAAUUAUAAUUUGGGGAUGCAGGAACACUUUGAGAAUCUGCGAAAGGAAUUCAAAAGUGAAGUUGAUCUUUUGUCGAAAAUAGGCCAUCGGAACCUAGUGAAGCUUCUUGGUUACGUUGACAAAGGAGACGAGAGACUUAUCAUAACCGAGUAUGUCCGAAAUGGUACACUCCGGGAUCACUUGGAUGGUAAGAACUUGUUUCACGUGUUGUUGCAGCUAUAUAAGAACAUAUGAUUAAUAAACAAUAUUUGUAAAUGCAGGUACUCGUGGAAGCACUCUCAAUUUCAAUCAGAGGUUGGAGAUCGUGAUUGAUGUUUGCCAUGGAUUGACUUAUCUCCAUUCUUAUGCAGGUAGAGAAUACUAUAGUAAACUUUGUUAUGAGAUUAGAUUUUGACUAAUGUUUUUUUUGUCAUUUAAAAACAGAAAGACAGAUAAUACACCGUGACAUAAAAUCAUCAAACAUUCUCCUCACGGAUAGCAUGAGAGCCAAAGUGGCAGACUUUGGGUUUGCAAGAGGCGGUCCGUCUGACUCUAACCAGACCCACAUUUUGACCCAAGUGAAAGGAACAGUUGGUUAUCUUGAUCCUGAGUACAUGAGGACUUACCAGCUUACCGCCAAAAGCGAUGUUUACUCGUUCGGGAUUUUGCUUGUGGAGAUACUCACAGGCCGUCGCCCAGUGGAGGCCAAGAAGCCUCAUGAUGAGAGGAUUACUGUUCGAUGGGUAAGUUUCUUCUCCAACUUGCAUCUUUUUUUUUUUGGGCAAAACAUUAAAUUAUAAAUUCUGGUGAUCAGGCAUUUGACAAGUACAAUGAAGGCAAAGUGCUUGAACUAGUGGAUCCAAAGGCCAGGGAGCGAGUAGACGAGAAGAUACUAAAGAAGAUGUUCAGUUUGGCUUUUCAAUGUGCUGCUCCUACACGAAAAGAGCGACCGGACAUGGAAGCUGUUGGGAAGCAGCUUUGGGCCAUCAGAUCCACUUAUCUUAGGCGAUCAGUGGAACAAAAAUAAUUAAUUGCUCCUUCCACACUUUUACCACGCAAAUGUUUUAGUCUCUGUUGUUAGAUAAUAUUUACCUCUUUAACAUUUUGCCAUCAAACCGUUUCUUCUACUUUACUUACUCGCUGGGUUUUUACAUCCGAGAGUUUAUUGAUAUUUGUUCAGCUUAAAUAUGACAUUCCAACAAAAGUAAUAUAGACUACAAUUUGAUCAUGUAUCUUAUAUAUUAAAAGAGAAGUCAUGACUUCUUUCAUGUGUGAUUUUUUUUUAUUUGGACCAUCACUUAGAAAUCUUAUUAAAUAUAUUUUAUUAAGAAUAAUAAUACACAGAAUCUUUAAAAUACUUUAAUCAUAAUAUCUUUUGAUAUCUUUUAUUUUAAAUAAUAUAUAAAUAUAUUUAUUUUAAAAAAAAAAUCUAACUAAUCUGUUUUAAAAGAUUUUUACAAGAUCCUCAUUUUCAAAAUUAUAUUUAAAUAUUUUUCACUAAUUUCGAAAUUAGUUUGAAAUAUUAUUAUACAUUAAUAAAUUCAGUAAUCAUUUAUAAAAUAAAAAAUAAAAAAUUCUGUAAUAUUUUAUAUAUUAUAUAAUCAUAAUCAAUCAUAUUAAAGAAAAUUAUUAUAUUGAGCUAAGUAUAAUAAAACUGUAUUAAAUUUUAUAAAUUUUAUUUUUCAUAAGUAUAAAAUAUUUAUGUUCAAAAAUAAAAUCUAAUAUGUUGGUAAGAUGGAUUAAGCAAAAUAUAUAAUACAUGUAUAAAAAUUAACAUGUAUUUCUUUAAAGCUUAUAAUAUAAAAUCUUUGUAACUACUUUAAUCAUAAUAUAUUUUCAUUUUAAAUAUAAGAUAUAUUUAUAUAUUAUAUUUAAAAAUUCUAAUAAAUCUGUGUAAAAGAAUUUUAACAAUAAUUUAAUAUAUUUUAAGUUAUCGUUUAUAAAAUGAAAAAUAAAUAAAUUAUAUCUUAUUUUACCCACUUUAUAGUCAUGAUCAUGUUAAAAUACAAUUAUUAUACUUAAAUAAAUAUGAUAAAAGUAUAUUCAAUUGAUAAAUUUAUAAAUUUUAUUUUCAUAAAUAUAAAUUAUUUAUUUUAAAAAUAUAAUAUGAUGAUAGAACGGCUUAAAAUUAACAAACCUUAUAAUACAUGUCUAAAAAUUAACAUACCUUAGACUUUUGUAUAUAGAAUAAUAUAUAGAGCUAAUUUGCUGAAUAUACCAAAAAGGGUGAGAUACCAUAGAAUAGGGGGAAAAUGGUAAUGAUGGGGGGAAAAAAAUUGGAGGGAUAUAGUGUAUGGAAUGCAAAUAGGGAAUAUUUGGUGUGUAGGGAGUACAAAUUCUCUAAUAUAUUAUCUAAAAUGAAUAAGUAUAAAAAUAUUAGUAAAAAAAUACAGCUUUGAAACACGGAUCAGAAUUUAGCAUAAAUUAAAUACAGAAUAAUUUUCAAAUAUAUUUUCUCAUGAAUAUAAUAAUUUGCUUAAUAACUAAAUGCAAAUACAAUAAGAUAAAUAUAUAAUAAGAAGUAAAAAUACAUACGGUUUUAACCAAAUGAUUAAUUAUAACAUGUAAAUUAUAAAAUUAUUUUAUUUGAAAUAGUUAUAUAAAUAUUUAAGUAUAUGAUUAAUGUUAAAAAAAAUAUCACUAAUGUUUAAAAAUAGUAAUUUAUGUAUAAAAAAAGUAAAAACAAACACCCGCGCGGUUGCGCGGGUCAAAAUCUAGUUUUCAUUUUAUACUAGGUGAUUUCCUAUAUGUACAGCAAUAAAAUUUUUUUUAACUUGUAUUUAAAAAUAAAAUUUAUUAAUAUUUUAGAUUUUAUUAUUUUUACUAAUAUUUUAACAUAAAUUUGAAUUAAUUAACAUAAAAUUAAAUAAGAUAAAAAUUGUUUAUUUAAAAUUCUAUUUAAUAUGUAUAUAUUUAAAAUUAUUAUCUUAGAUAAAUUUUUUAUCUAUUUCUUUUGGUUAAAAUAUAUUAAAUAAACGUAUAUAAAAUUAAGAAAAAUUUGAUAUAAAAAUUGUAUAAUGAUCAAAAAGUAAAAAUAAAAAGUACUUUUAAAAUUUGUAGAAAUCAAAAGGAAAUUAAUGAUAUUUAAAAUUUAUAAUUUUUCAGAGAUUGUGUAAAAUUCUGUAAAUAUUUUUAGUGAGAAAUGUAUAAUUAUAAAAAAGUUAGAAUUAAAUAAUAUUUCAAUUUAAAAAAAAAAUAUUGUUAUACUAUUUAAUGACAUAUUUAAUUAGAAUUGCUUUAUUAAUAAUGUAUGCGGUUAUUACUAUAUUUUAAAAAAAUUACCAAAAAUAUAAAUCAACGUUAAAUUUAAUUUUCUAUGUCACAUUUUAAUUCAUAUCAUCAUUUCUUAUAUGUCAUAUCAUAUUUUUUAAUGAAAUUAAUUGUAUAGAAGAUACAUAACCAAAACGUGUAAAAUCACUUUGCAAAUAAUGUCUAUGAGACUAAGAGAUGUUAGCUUUAGUCUUUAUAGUAACCAUCAAUUUAUAUUGUUUAUAUUUUAUUGUUACAUAUUUUAUAAUGCUAUCACAUUUGCUUCUUCUUCUUUGACAUUAAGAAGUUAUUAUAUUAUUUAAACUAAAAGUGGUUUAGAUAUCAAGAUCGAGAUAAAAUAACUAACGAGAUAAAAAAAAGCUCUAUGAAAUUCUCGAGCAGAUUUGUCUUACGAAUUAACAAUCUCGUUAUGUCCAAAGGGAAUGUAGGAUAUAUGAAAUCAUGAAAUUUUAUCUUCAGCUAAUCCAUCUCCUUCAAUUCUGUCAAAAACGUUGGCCAUGCCUCAGGUUUCUUUAUCAUCGCUAUCAAAUCUUUAUACUCUAUUCCAAUAUGGCAUUCUGAAUAAUGUAACAUGGUCUCUAUUGCCACCUUAAAGAUUCUAACUCCGAAUGCAAUAGAGAUUUUCUAUGUCAAAUAUUUAUUGUGCCUAUGAAUUGGGGUUAUCUAGAGUUAUCUUUCCAAAACUCAUCCACAUCUAACAAAGAUGGAUGUAGAGGUCCAAAAAUCAUCCACCACCAUGUAUCCUCUAAGCGUACGACUUGAGUUAUUACUAUAGGCAGUUGAAUAGAACUAUUAGGUUGCGCAUUUUCGGUGAACCAUGCUUGGCAUUUUCAUUCAGCAUAUCUGAUCAGCUAUAACAUUUUUAAUGUGCCUUAUUGGACAUUAUUUGUAUAUAAUUAUUUAUGUUAUUUAUGUAUUAUAUAUAAUUAAUUUUUUCAUAAUUUUUUAAUGGAUACCAAUAUAUUUUUGCAAUAUUUUGGUAUACAAUAAAAACUCUAUAAAUUAAUAAUGUUGAGACAUUAGUAUUUUAUUAAUUUAUUGAGUUAUUAAAUUACAAAAAAAUUUAUUUUAAAAAUUGAGCUUAUUUUUUUGUAAAAUAAGAAAAAUAGUUAAACUCGACUUUCAUAUAAUGUUUAUUGUAUUAAUUGAUGUAUGAAAUAUUUGUGCCAUACAAUUUAAAUGUGGAUAUAACUUUAUUAAAUAUCAUCAAAAUAAUGCGAAAUAUUAACAAAACUAGAAAUAAACUCAAUUGUAAAUAUAAAACAAACAAUACAAGGUGUUAUUUUUUAGUUAUAUAAAUUAUAUAUAUAUAUAAGUUAUUGAUUUAUGCUUUUUUAUGGGACUGUAUAUUUAUAUGGAAUUUUCUAAAAGAAUAUUAUCUUAUUAUUUUAUCUAUUUGCAUCAUAUUUUAAACGUGUCCAACUCAAGACCGACAAAAGUUAUUAAUUAAUAUGAUUUAUUAAUUUAUUGAGUAUUAAUUUAUAUGUUUUAUAUUGUAGUAAUUUUUUUAAUAUAAAUAACUAAAUAUAGAAACACCUUCAAAAUAUGAAAAGGAAGAUUUUCAAUUUCUAUGGUAUGCAUAUUAAUUUAUUUAGUCAUACUCAAAAAAAUUUAAAAGUACAUGCAUUUUCUAUGUAUUAUUAAGAUUCAUUUUAAAAUAAAAUUUUACUAUAUUAAAACUAUUUAACAUGUUUAGUAUAUUUUUAAAUUAAUGAAAUCUUUACCAUUUUAUGUUUAAUCAGCUUCACAAAUGCAAUCAUAUAUAAAAUUUAACUGGUUUUGGAUUUUUAUUUUUAAUUUAAAUCAAUAAUAAUAAAAUUAAUAAAAUAUUAUAAUUAUAAUUUUUAUUUUUUAUAUAUUGAAGUAUGUCUACUAAAGCAGAUGAACUUAUGUUGAUGAAAUAUAUAUAUAUAUUUCUCUCUUGCUCAUUAAACCAUAUCAUCAAUUGAAGCACCGCAAAUUGACAUCUCUAUAUCAUUUAAAGAAAAUAUAAAAUCUUCUUCAUCUUUCAACUUAUUAUUAUUUAUAUCAAAUAUAUUGACACAAUAUUAAAUUGUCCACACAUAUUGUUAUACAUUAAAUAUAAUUUAGCCCAAACUAAUUGUAAUUUAAACAAUUUUUUAUUUAAAAUAGUAAAAUUAAUAAAUUUGUUGUACUAAUAUAUUUAUACAUUAUGGUUUUCUUAAAUUAAUAUUAUCGUCUGUAUCUACAUAUCUUUUAUAUUUUAAUAAUUAUUUUAAUAUAUAUAUUUAACUAUCUAUUGAAAUUUAUACAUUAUAUUCAUAAUUUAAAUACAUAUAAAUAAGCUGAAAAGAAUAUGAAUAGUCAUUUAUCAUUUAAUAUCGUAACCCAAAAAACAGCAUAACUUAUUAAAAAUAAGAAUUAAUAUAUUUAGUUAUAUUAAUAUAUUUAUGUUAAGCAUUUAGUUUGCAGUUUUAAUCAAAACUAAUAUAAUAAUAACACUUUAUACAUUGUAUAUUUGUAUAAAAGUAAUUAAUUUUAAGUACAAUAAGAAUAUUAAUAAAUAAACUAAAACUAUUAGUCAAUUUUUGGUGAUUAUAUUAAUAUGGAUCCAGACUUCAACAUUUGAUAAAAUGAAAACAUCAGUAUUUCCAACAUAAACAAUUGGGAUGUCCUCAAUUUGGUAAUUAUAUAACUUGAAAUGAACCAAAAAUAAUUUCAUCUUUUGCUGCCAAUUCCUGAUUAUUUUUAAAUUCAAAUUUAUCAGGCAAUAUUCCAUCAGUAAGAAUAUUACUCCAUGGAUGAAAAAAUAGAUAACAAAGGAUAUUAGCAUACCAAUGAUAUUAUGAAAAUAAUAGAAAAAUAUAUAUAAAUUAUUAUUAACACAUAAAUAAUAAAACAUUAAUGAAUCAUUGGGAAUGUAAACAAAAUAAUUUAGAAAUGAAAAAAAAAUUAGAAAUGAAGAACAAGAAUAAUACAGUUUAGACAUAUGGAAAUGUAAGGUAUACGUAAUUAAACAUAUAAUUUGAUUCUUUAUAACAGAAGUUUGUUAAAGCUUAAGCUUCUAUGAGAAGUUACUAUUUCAAAUUGUAAACGAAAUAUCCAUGUAUUUAUAUAGUUGUAAUAUUUAACUAGAUCUCGAUCCGCGCAACCGCGCGGAUUUUUGUUUUUAUUUAUUUUUAUAUAAAUAUUUUGUUUUUAAUUUCAAAUUGGUAUAUAUUAUAAUGGGCAAAUCUCCAAAAUAGCACAUUUCUAAGUUUAUAUCACAAAAAUAGCACUCAAAAACUAAAAUGACCAAAAUAACAUUUUAUCUUUUGAAAAAUUUAAAUUUUUUAAUUUUUCAAAAUUUGAAAUCUUAUCCCCAAAACCUCACUUCUCAACUCUAAACCCUAAAACCUAAACUCUAAACCAUAAACCCUAAAUUCUAAACCCUAAACCCCACCCCUUGAGUGCUAUUUUUGUGACUUUUGGCAUUGAGUGCUAGUUUGGGAACAAAAACUUGAUUUAGUGCUAUUUUUGUCUUUUUCUCUAUUAUAAUAUAUAUGUGUCUAUCAAUUUUUAAAACAUAAUAAAUUUACGGUAUAUUUUUUCAUUGAAUAGAUUGUUUCAAACUUUCACAUGUAUUUGUAUCUUCUUAUAUAUAUAUAUUUUCUGAUUAUUAUUUCAUUAUUAAAAUCGUAACUUUAUAUAUAAAGAUUAGUAAAAUAUUGUUUUAUUGUCAUAUUCAAAGAUAUUGUAAUAUUUCACAGAUUUAAAAAGUUCUUAAAAAAUUAAACUUUUCGCUUCAUAGAUUUAUAUUAUCGAGUAAAUAAUUAAACAUUUAGUUUUGUUUAAUUUUUAAAAUAAAAUUAAAUAUUAGAAAAAACUAAAAAUAAAUAAUUUUUUGAAUUCAAAAAUGUAUUAUCAAAAUAAUGUUUUUAAUCUUUUAUUAUUUAUUUAAAUAAUUUUGUAUAUUUAAAUAUCUAUAAAUUAAAGUUAAAAGAGAUUUUUACCUCUUUAAUGAAAGUUUAUUUUGUUCAUUGUCCUCUUUGUGUAUUUUUUUGGUGGAAAAACCUAAAAAUGUCAUUUGAUAAAUUUGCCCUAUAUAUUAUUCUCAGAAUUAUCACAAAACCGAAUAAACACGAAGGUCUUCUGCUAUAGCUGAGCUUUCAGGCAAGUAGGACAUGGUCUUUGAUUCAUUUUAUUAAUUCUUUAUAAGUUUACUAGGGUCGGCCCGCCCUGCGGGCGGGAAAUUAUAAUAAAAGUUAUUUUGUAUUAAUUUAUGAAGUAUUUAAAAAUUAUUAUAGAUUUAAAAAUAUUAUAAACAAACAAAUAAUGAAAGAAUUAUGAGAUCAUAAUAUUAGCAUUAUAGUAAAUGCUAUAGUAUUUAUAUUUAUUUUAUAAUACCAUUAUAUUUUUAAUAGCAUUAUAUUUUUAAUAUUUAUUUUAGUUUCAGAUGUUUAGUUUUAUAAUAUAUACUAUCAUUAUUUAUUAUUAUAUAAAUGUGCACAUUACAAUACAUCUUUUAUAUAUAUAUAUAUAUAUAUAUAUAUAUGUUGAAGAAAAUGACAUAAAAGAAUUAUUAUAAAAAGAGUUAUUUUUUUAUGUGACGAACAUAAAUCUGCUAAUAUGUUUUAUCCUAUAAAAUAGUUACCCUCAUAUUUUGUGAGAUUAAUUGUAGUUUUUAUGUUUUGGGAUGGCAACGAUAGUUUGUAUGUUUUUAAAAUAAAUCUUGUUAUAUAACUUUAAUGGUUAUUUUGAUAGAAACAACCAAAUAUAAAUAUGAGUAAGUUUGGAGAUGAGUUUGUUUGAUGUUUUAUGUAGUAUUGAUUUAAGAGGGAUGCUACAUCAGGCGUAGGAUAUUGGUUUAUAUUGUGUUACAAUAAUUUGAGCACCGGGGAUGCGCGUGAUUUAUAUUUUUUUGUGUAUGUGUCAAUAAUUUAUUGUACACACUAUCGUAUUGUUUCAUUUUUGUGGUUUGUGUCACAAGUUAUAUUCGAUUAAUAUCGCCAAGUGUUUGCCCAUAAUUUAUAAUACUUCCACUAAUUUAAGUUGUUUUGAUAAUUCAUAGAUUCUCCCUAGCCAACUGGUACGGGGUUGCUAGCUAUAUUGGCUAAAUAUUGGCCCAUAAUGUCUUGUUAUAUUAUAUUUAUUUAAUUAUUAUAACGUUUGAUUUUAUUUAUUUAUGUAAUAUAUUCUGUUUGUAUAUACAGAGAAACAGAGAUUCAGUAUGAGAAUUGAUAAGUUUGUAAUAUUUCAGUUUUGACUGAGAUUUUUAUAGAGGAAUUAACCAAAUAAAUGAGUUAACUAAUGGUGAAGUGUGAGAUAAGGCUGGUGGACACAGCUCCCUGCCAGAGCUUUGAGGUUGUGAGCUUUAUAAGUUCUCUUCUUAAAAUCUUGCCAGAGGGAUUCUUGGGGAUCGAAGACAAAACCGUGACUGACCUUACAUAUCCUCUUGUAUGGAGAUACCUACGUAAUCCAAACAAAACUCAGAAUAAAUAUAAGGAACCACGGCUGGAUUAGUUACAAAACAUGGUCUGCAUGGUUGAAAACACCUGCUUUGCGACUAAGAUCAUGAUUUCACUUUCGGAUAAGUUGAUUCCAGUUGUUCUGAUGAUAUAUGCCAUUGGAUAUUGCCCAGCUUUCUUGUCAGGAUACUUCAAAAACAAUAAGAUAGAAAAGUAAGAGCUAAAGCCUCAAAAAAGGUCAUUAAAGAGAAGAAUUUAGUGAUGGGUCAUGUUUAAAAGCAAGUUCUCACGGUAUUACUGCUGCAUCAGCAAUCUCUGGAUGAGCUAGCAACACUGCUUCUAACCAAAUUUAUAAGUUUUAAAACAUUAAGAAGAUCAAACACAAGUUGAUUAUAUGUAAUUUUUUUUGUUUCUUACCUGAUAUCCGUUGCAUUUGAUUAGCUCCUUUAAUCUACCAACAGCAAAGACAAAACCCUCACUGUUAAUGUAACACACAUCUCCGGUCUUCAACCAUCCUUCUGAAUCAAUAGUAGAAGCAGUAGCUUUCUACGUUUUUGAAAUAACCUUUAAAAGCAACUCAACACAGUUUCAUACCAACACCAAACACAAAAGAAUUGCGUGUUAAAGAAGAAGCAAACACCUUUCAUCACAGUAGGACUCCGGAACCUGAGUUCGCCAGUUUGAUCAAACCCCAAGACACGACCCGUAUCCUGAUCCACAAUCUUAGCCUCCACAUUUGGAGAAAGCAAACCAGAUGAUAUGUACCUCUCAGUCUCCUCUUCAGUAAACAUAGAAACAACGAUAGCCAUAGUCUUGUAAAACUUUUAAAUUAUUGUCUCUCAACGAAAAGUUUUAAUUGAUUUCACUCAUAGAACAUUACUGUAUUUCUCAUAAAAACGGAUCGAAUCACUGAACCGUAUCAACAGAGGAGAGUCUAAAAGUCUAAAUUCUGAUUACACCUAAUUUUAAGCCUUGAUCUUCAUCGUUUUGAGUUCAUCACCCUGCCUAACAUUCCUAGCCUCCCAGAAACGAAGCAACAUCACCUCAAUCGUGUAGGAACAUCAACCGGGCUUCAAAUCGGAAAAGAAAACUUGAGAGCUAGCCAUUUUCCAGAAAAUAAAGGGAUAUCUAUGUUUGAAUAGGUCGUCAGGAUAAUUUCGAGAGAACAUGGAUCUAACCUUUUUAUACUGAGAUUUCUCCACCGCCUUGCAAGAGCGAAACAUACAAUAAAUGGAGAUCGUGGAUGAUGAAAUCAAGGACGACUUUAAGAAGAUGAAUGCGUAACCGGUGAAAAUCAAGCUCUGAGGAAGAAGAUGAAUCGAAACAGUUGGAGCUUCGUGGCCAUGGUGGAGAAGAACAGGAAACAGAAAACGAUACGUUUCAAGUUGUCUUAACCUAUUUUCAAGUUGGGCUUUUUCAAAACUGCAUUCUAAAAUCCGUGUUAACACAAAGUCCAUGAGGAAUAAAUGAAACGGUGAGUUUCACAACCCUUGGACACGUGGCAGUCUGUCAGGGAGUGAGUUUCCACGUGGACACCCCAGGAGUGAACCAAACAUAUUUAUAUAUAUAUAGAUUUUCCAUCUGUAAAUGAUCAUUUUCUGAAGGAGUAUCCAUGUCAUUACUUCUUUUUAAAAAUAAUAAAUAGAAAAAGUCUAGUUGUUUAAGAAACUUAUGAUACAACCAAAGAUCCGAAUCUUCAUAUCCGAAGAUUCCAAAACGAAAUGUAGAUCCGACGGCUACAGGCUUGCAGUAUUCCCCUCUCUUUCACAAUAUUAAAUCGCACUUAACACAAUAAAGACACGAAAUAUAAAAAGCAGAAGCAAUACUAUAGGAACAAAAUUAAAAGGGAAUAUUUCCAGCAUCAUUCCUCGAAAUAAUUUCAUUAUUCAUAGCAACAACUUGGUCUUCCAUUUUUUUCUCUUCACUUCAAAAAAUUUAAAACCCCCAAAGAAAAGAGAAUACAUAAAGACCACCAACCAGCCCACACAAACUACAACCAACGUUCUUGAACAUCAAAUAGAGAUGAUGAAAGUGGCUUCGCCUCGUGCACAGGAUGAUUCAAUCACGCAGAAAGUUUUCAGGCGAGUCUACAGCAAUUUUAGUUUCUCAACGGUCGAUGAUGACUACAACCAUAAUCGUCGUCGGAGAUCAAGAUCGGGUGAUUACGGGAAGGAGAGUUUGAGUAAGAGAGGGUUUGAAGAAAAAGAGCAAGUUAUGGAGAUGGAGCAGAUGGGAGCUGAGAGGAUCAAAACUGUUCUUAUUCUGAUGAGUGAUACCGGCGGUGGCCACCGUGCAUCCGCCGAGGCUAUACGUGACGCCUUCAAUAUCGAAUUCGGAGAUGACUACCGGGUAAAUAUAUUUUUAUUUAUUUUGUUAUGACGUAAUUAUAUUAUUUUUCUUCUCUCUUCAUCUUCUUUCUCUUUACCUUGACUCAAACGCUUCGGUGGAGCCGAUAUGUUACUUCUUCAAUUAUAUGUGCCACAAAUCUAAGCAUGUUAGUAGUUUUUAAAAAUGUUUUUGGUUUGGAAAAAAAUAUUGUGACUAAGGUAAUCAUUCUGGCGUUUGCUGUUUUAGUAGAGAAUUCUCACUUUUGAGUUUCUGUUCUAAUAUCUAUUUAAUUUGAGGAACAAAAUUAUUUUGAACGGUUCAUAAAGAAAAUUUCAAAUCUGGUAUAUAUAUACCUGAAUAAAUUUGUAUCACACCAAGAAGAGUCUGAUUAUUCUCAAAUCAGUGAAUCACACCAAGAAGAGUAAUUUGUAACUGAAAUACCAAUGAAUCUCAUUCUCAGCCGUCAAUGAAUGUUAAAACCAUCGAAAUGCUCACCUUUAUUUUGAAAAAACAAAUAAUACUCCCUCCGUUUUUUAAUAUAAGUCGUUUUAGAGAAACUUUUUUGUUCCAAAUUAUAUGUCGUUUUCGGUUUUUUAUGUAACAUUUAUUAGUAAUUAAUGUUGUCUGACCAAUGAUAAUAUAUCUUCUAUUUUUCUAUUGGUUAAAUUGUGGUUAUGUAAAUAAUUAAUGAUGUUUUUGUUUCGAAAAUAUAAGAAAUUAAUGAUUUUCUUAAUCUAUGUGGAUAGUUUCAAAACGACUUAUAAUAAAAAACGGAGGGAGUAUCUACUUGGAAGUUUUGUAGCCUAGUAUUGGAUCUUGGCGUUUGCCAGGUUGUCGGAGAUACACGAGUGAUGUCAACAUUUCGUGUCUUAAAAACCUGUCCCACGUUCUUUACUCAUUUUUUGUUGUUGUUAAUAAUUGCACUACUUAAGUUUCUAUUUUUUUUUUUUUUUUGAAUAGACUACUUAAGUUUCUAGCUCUACGAAGUAAUGUUUUACUAUUAUUUAUUACAGAUAAUCAUAAAAGACGUUUGGAAGGAAUACACAGGAUGGCCACUGAACGACAUGGAGAGACAGUACAAGUUCAUGGUGAAACAUGUUGGUCUUUGGUCAGUCGCGUUUCAUGGUACCUCUCCAAAAUGGAUUCACAGAAGUUAUCUCAGUGCUCUUGCCGCCUAUUAUGCCAAGUAUUUACAUGUUAACCACUAUAUAUUGCCAUUUUUCAUCUUACCCUUUACUUUCAUUAGAUGUAUUUUUUACAUCAUUAGAUGUAUUUAUAUAUACAAAUAUAAUUAAGUUCUUAUUUUGUUUUGUGGUGUAAAGACAAAUAGAGGCUGGUUUAAUGGAGUAUAAACCAGACAUUAUUAUUAGCGUACAUCCUUUGAUGCAACACAUCCCAUUGUGGGUAAUGAAAAGGCAAGGACUUCAAAAGAAAGUCAUUUUCGUGACGGUUAUCACUGAUCUGAACACUUGCCACCGUACAUGGUAAGAUGGUAUCUAAUAUUUCUAACGAAACAAAUGAAAAAAAAGAAAGAAAAAGACUGUGCUCGGGUCCAGUUUCUUGUUUUUUUUUUUUUUUUAAAAUAAGUAAAGAGUAUAACUUCAAUUAGUCCAACCAUUUAAAUUUAACAUAGUAGCUCAAAAUGAAAUAUUUAAUCAGGUUCCAUCAUGGAGUCAGCAGAUGUUACUGCCCAUCCAAAGAGGUUGCAAAGAGAGCAUUAGUAGACGGUCUUGGAGACUCUCAGAUCCGUGUCUUUGGCUUACCUGUCCGCCCAUCAUUCCCUCGCACUAUUAUCGGCAAGGUAAAAUUAGUCCAGUUUAUACCACUUCUAGUUUUGUUUUUUCAAACACUAGAAGAUCAACCAUAUGUAUUAUAAUGUUUUGUUAGGAUGAUCUAAGGAAAGAGCUUGAAAUAGAUUCGAAUUUACCAGCGGUUCUGUUAAUGGGAGGUGGUGAAGGAAUGGGUCCGGUUCAGAAAACCGCUCAAGCCCUCGGAGAUUCUUUAUAUGACUCUAAACAAAGAAAACCAAUAGGACAACUGAUUGUCAUAUGCGGCCGGAACAACACUCUUGCCUCUGCAUUAGCAUCCCAUGAAUGGAAGAUUCCGAUCAAGGUAGCCUUUAAAAUGUGAACUUUUAUUAGUACUUGUAGUAAGUGAUUAAUAACUUAUAUUAUGAUGUCUAUACCUUACAGGUUCGUGGGUUUGAGACACAAAUGGAGAAAUGGAUGGGAGCUUGUGAUUGCAUCAUCACAAAGGUUAGUCAUAUCUUUAAAUCAUCCAUCCCUACUAUCCCUUAGGUUCUUAUUUAGAAAAGCCUUAAAUUUGACAAGUGUUUAUGACACCAACACAGGCCGGUCCAGGUACAAUUGCAGAAGCAUUGAUAUGCGGCCUCCCAAUUAUCCUCAAUGACUAUAUUCCCGGACAGGUACAUUUACAUUUUUAGCUUGACUCUUAAAAUUAUUUGGCCAUAUCAAUAAUCCACUAACUAACUCGUGUGAAUUAUGUAACUAUCAAAGGAAAAAGGCAAUGUGCCGUAUGUUGUGGACAAUGGGGCUGGAAUUUUCACUCGAAGUCCUAAAGAAACAGCGAAAACUGUGGCUGGUUGGUUCAGCAGCAAGAAAAACGAAUUAUAUAAAAUGUCAGAGAAUGCUCUUAAGUUGGCGCAGCCUGAGGCAGUGUUCGACAUUGUUAAGGAUAUACAUCAUCUAUCUCAACAGCAGCAAAAACGUAUUCAACUUUAUAAUGAUUAUUCCUACUGACUACUUCUACUUUAGCCUUCAUAUUCCUCUUAUUUCAUGAAUCGUUAUGCUUGUAUAUUGUCUAGUGCACUGUCAUUCUUUGAUCAUCUUUUGUAACAUUUAUAUAUGCAUUGUCAUUCUUUAAUCAAUCAUUUGUAAUAUCUAUCACAUUUACAUUUAUUUUUAGUGUGCUGAACAAGAAAAGGUUAUGAAAAAAAUGUUAUUGGGUCUAAAUGGAUUUAACUAUUAAGUCCAAUUAUGAUGGUACAAAUGUAUAAUUUGGCCUAGUAGCAAAUGGGUUCACCUAACAAGGGGGAAAUAGACUUCAAUGAGACUUUUCCUGAUUGUUAAACUCACAAGUGUGACACCAAUGCUGGGUUAGCUUCUUCAAAAGGCUGCAAUAUUCUUCUCUUCCAAAUAUGGAACAUUUGUAAUUAUGUUAACCUAGUGUCUCCUACCUCUCUGUAUAUAUUGUAUCGUGUAAACUCAAUUGAGAUAUCUGAAAACCAUCUUCUCCUAACAUGGUAUCAGAGUCCGAACACACUUUGUUCAACUAAACCGAAAUCGAUCCGGCUCAUCCAAAAAGGCAAGAUCGAUCCUAAACCGACAUGAUCUAAAUGGUCCGGCGGUAUGGUAGAACUAAAUCCUAGACUAGGAUAUUGUCGAAAAACCAACGUUAGUUGUCUCGCAACCACAACCACGUGAAUACUUGUUGUCUGGUUUGUCAACUCAAGAAAACCCAUACAAGUGACAAGCAAUCCAAACGAACUGAUUAGAAUGAAGAGAGUUCCUAUGGUCCAAGUAAUGUGAGAACGUGAUGGGAUACAUGAAACAUAGUAUAGUGUUGGUGGAGUUUCCUUUUAAACAUUUGAAACAAUGGAAAGAAAAAUUGCAACAACAAAGAAAAUGUGAAGCACGGCGAAUCAUAUUCAUAGGCAGAUGCAAAAACAAAAAGAAGAGAACAACAUUCUACAACAGCCAAGAUAACUAAAAUCCAAGUAGACAAGUCACACACGACAACAAAUAGUACACAACAUGAAGCAUAAGUUUCCCCUACACUACUUAAACCAACACAUAUGGUCCUCUUCAAGUCUUGAACAAUCCCCUCUUUCUCAUGUUUCAUUUUCUCUUCUUAGCAGGCGGCUGGCGAACAUCUUCGUCAUCUUCCUCAUCAUCCUCAUCUUCGUCCUCCUCAUCCUCAUCUCCAUCAUCAUCACCACUCUCAUCCCCGUCAUCGUCAUCAUCAUCAUUAUCAUCGCUUCCUCCCCCACCAUUGGUCACCGGGUCAUCCUCCGGAUCAGCUUCCUCUCCUUCACCCCCUGAAAAAUCUUCAUCAUUAGCAUCAUCAUCAUCAUCAUCAUCGUCUUCAUCAGCGUUGUCCUCAUCAUCAUCGUCAUCAUCAUCAGAGUCACUGGCAUCUUUAUUUUCCUCAUCUCGGUGUCCUUUUUUGUAGCCCUCCUUCACAGAAAGCCUAGAGACAAGUCAAAUUCAAAUCUGCUACAAUCUAAAAGAAAGGGAAAAAUGAAAAGUGUGGCCCUUAUGCUCACCUCUGAUCUUCAGCAAUCAACCCUAUCAGCAAAGAUUCUGCCUGCGAUAUCACAGAACAAAAAGAUGAAUGUUAGACAAGGUUUUAUGAAAUUUUAUACAAUACUGAACUAUCCAUAGUGUAUUAAUGCAAAGUUCAACGAGCACACAAGCUAAAAAGGAUCAUGAAAAUGGCAAAUGUCAAUAUAGCACAUAACUAACAAACACUGAAAUUACUAAAGGAAACCUAAAAGGUACACAAAAUAAACCUAAAGUCAAUCUGUAAGGGUUUAAACAUUUUCAAAGGAAGUCUCGUCUUUGUGUGUUUGCUAUAUCAUACAAAAUCCAAGAAGAGCACAUCCUUAUAUAAAUAGCAAAUAGACAAAAAGUAAACGUGACAAGUUAACAGAGUGUACAUUUGACAUUAUUAAACUCUGCAUUCAACUUCAAUUGUACAAAGACCCGUCUCGAACCAAUUAAGACAGAAGCUAAAGUGCUUGUCUAAAUUCAAACAAUAAAAUCCGUCAAAGCCCAAAUCGUAUCCCUAAAGCAGAAAAUCUAAUAAGCCUUGGAUUCAGGAACACAGAGACAACUCCAGGAUGGACGGUUUUUGCAUAAAUGACAAAUCCAACAGAACACAAAGUGAAACAAGAGUUAUAAAUUAAAAUUAAGGAAACAGUUGUAUACCGCGAGAAGCAGACAAGCCAGAUUCCUUCCAACGAGGAAGAGAAGCGUCUCAGUGGCAGAACAAGUCCAUUGUCUCUGCGUCUCCAUUGACAUGAGGGCAGCCACUUCCAUACCUACUCGAAAAGGACUCACAGUAAGAGAUGAGGAGACAGAAAGCCAAAGACUACAGGGGAGGAGGAGACAGAUAAAGAGAGAUAAAAAAGGGAGUGUGGAAAACCUGAAUAGCUUAGAUCCGGUCAAGUACCCUAAAUUUUCGUCCCUGUAGGGUUUUUGUAUUUAAAGGAGUUUUUUUUCAUCUGUAGUCUGUAGAUUAAGCCAGCCUUUAUAAGAGUUUUUAUGAGCCAUGUCCACAAAUAACAACUAUAAAUAUAAUAUAUUAUUUUAUUUUUAAAAUUUUAAUUUAGAUUUUGACACUAGUAUUUCUAUGCUUUAACUUCAUUGGUUUGAAAAAAAAAACUAUAAAUAUAUUUUUGUAGUCUUGUUUUUUAUAUUAGUUUAAUUAUUUCUGUUUAAUUUAAUUUAAAUUUUAAUAAAGUUAGGAUAACAUUUUUAUAAAAAUCAUUUUAUUUAUAUCAAUUCAUUUUAAUUAUAUCAUUUCAUUUGAUAUAUAAAUUCUAAUAAAUUUUGGAUUUGUUGGUUUUAGUUAAAAUACGUUAAGAAUACAAUUGUUGAAAAGAAAUCACUUGGAGACUCCGCGGAUAUCAUGAACAAAUAUAUCAAGCUAACGUUGCACUUUCUGAUGCGGUCAUCAUUGGAACCAAAGGUAUAUGUUGACUGAGAUGGGCGACAUGAGCUUUACUUGGAUGAACCGACAGCUGAGGACUGGACCAGCACGAAAUGGAUCGAACAAGGAAAUGUGGUCACGAAAUGGACAUGAGAAGGACGGACGGUCGAGAGAUGAACAGGACAGACGAUCGCGAAAUGGAAUAUGACCAAUGGUCGGGUGAUGCGAUAUGGUCGGACAUAGACCCAAAAAAUGGAGAUGAAGACCUGGACAUGGAAAUUUAUCAAUAAAUGCUCGACAAAGUGAACUAAGCAGCAAAACGGUCUAAAUAACUAUCAGCUGGAUCGAACCCAAGAAGUGGUUAGCCAAGAUAAGACUUCUGCGGCACAAGAUGGGAUGGACAACCAAGCACAUGAUCCACUUGUCUGUUAUAUUGGACAGAUGACAAGAUCAAAGACUAAAGCCUUGAAAGAAGUCUUUGGAGUUUUAAUCAAGUUUAUCCAAGAAAAAGAUGAGCUGACCCAUGGGAAGGAUAGAGGGCGGAUCACUUGGUUUAAACUUCGAUUAACCAAGAUUUAAAGUUUUAGAAUUUCUCACUAAACCCAUUAAGAGUAAGUUUAAAUCCAUUAGGAGUUGGUUUUGGUUUUCAUACACCUAUUAGGUUUAGAGUUUUCAUGUCAGUCAUGUUAUAUUUUGUAAUAACAAGUCUACUAGGUAAUAAUCCGCGCCUUUCGCGGGAUGUGAUUAUUAGUUUUGUUAUUUUUAAUAAAAACACAUUAAAUCUGUUUAAUCUGAAUAUUGGUUCAGUUUUAAAUUAUUUUUUGGUUUAUUCUGUUAGAAUGUUUGAUUUUUUAGUUUUUUCGGUAAAAACCAAAAAUUAUUAUUAUUUGUUUAUUUUUAUGUUAUAAAUUUUAGAUAAUCGUCAUGUCGAACCAAUGGUUUCAUAUUAUAGUUUGUAAAUAGAUAAUAGUUGAAGAAAUUUUUUUUUAUUAAGACUAAUCAUUUCACUACAAUUUGGUCGGUAGUGAAAGAAGCAUUAAAAAAAAAUAUUCAACUUCCAAAAAAAAAUAGAUACUUCAGUAGUGGUAAAUACUUAUAAAGUAUUCACAUCAAGGUGCACAUGUAUGUGUAUAUAAAAGUAUAUAAAAAUAAAUGACAAAUAUAUAAAGAUAUUGUUAAUUAAUAUUAAUGACAUUUUUGUUCUAAAUAAUACAUGAAAGAUAAAAUUAAAAUUAAUUAAAAAGUAAAAAGGCCUUGACAUUAGUGAAUUUUUUUAUAUAAAAAAAUCAACUGUAUCCGUAAAUAGAGAUGAGCACAGAUCGAAUAUCCGAGUAUUUGGAGACAUUCAUGUCGAUUCAAUUUUUAGCCACUUGGAUAGUCGGUGAUUAUGAUAUCCAAAAUGAUUUAGAAUUUUAAAGAAUAUCCGAUUUGAUCCGUAAAUAAAAUUUAAAAAUUAAUUGAAAAUUUAAUAAUAACGUUUUAUUACAAAAAUAAAAUAUUAUUUACUUUAUAAAUUUUAAUACCUAAUAUAAUAAAUUUAGUUUAUAAAAAUAUUGUAAAACUUAUAUAAACUAUAAUAUAUAUAACAUAUAUAUAUAUAUAUAUAUAAUUCUGUACAUAUAUGUAUAUAUAUGCAUAUAAUUGAUCGAAUUUGAUAAUCGCUCCUAAAAAUAUUGGUAUUUGUGAUUUGCUUUUCUUUAAUUGUAUUUUAGUAAUUGAUUUGCUUCGUAAAGUUACGGAUAUCCGUAUUUUUUGGUUCAAUUCAAAACGGAUAACGAAUUGAAUCAAAACUUAUAAAUAUUUUGCCCAACUUUAUCGAUAAACAAUAAAAAUAAUAUAUAUAUAGUUAGCUUUUGAUUCGUUAUUUUUUUUUAUUUGAACCGAAAAAUCUAAUGUUUUAUUGGAACCAUGCAUAUGAGUUUUAUAUUAAAAAAAUACAAAGUAUAUAGUGUGAACAUAUUUAUGAAUAAAGUGUGAACGCAUUAACAUAUUUAUCAUCAAAUCAUUGUGAAGCUGACACGUGUCUAUUAUAAUGUGAAUGUAUUUAUUACAAUGCUUCUCCUUUAAUAUAUAAGGGAUUUGAACACUUUUUAUCGCUUUGUUUAUUUUUGAACAGUCUCCUUCAAUCGCUAGGAAGAUUACUCUUUUCCCUUACGUGAACCCAUUCAACACCAACAAACGAGGUUACACUCGUAAGUAGUUGUAACGCACAACAUAAGGCUCUUCAUUAACUUUAGGUGAAGAAAUUAUCGACCAUUCAAAGUGCUAUGAGUACUAGUAGCCUCUAGGUUCAGUCGCCCAUCUUCAAGUGAUCAAAGACAUUACAUCUAUCGAAAGUAGUAUCAGCUCAUAAAGAAGUGCUUUUGGUAAGCAAUACUAGUAAUAAAGAAUUGAAGAUUUGUCCUCUCCGACAAGAAACACAAAGAUAGGGUUGUACUUCCACAAAACAGUACAUUUCUAAUUUCGAAGUAGUUCUCAACAUAUCAAUUAUAAAGAACAUUAAUGACAACAACCACACAACCACAGUUUCCUUCCAUUAUUCACUACACAAAAGAUCUCACCAGACAUCUCAAACACAUAAUUUACAUAAAACUGGCAAAAAGUACAGAACAUCUCACUGCGGACCCUUGUCCCGUGGAGCUUCAGAAUGCAUAGCAUUGUAGUCUUUGGUGUAAACACGGUGCCUCCUCUCCCGCGCGUAUACAACCCAAAACACCAAAGACAGCAUUACAGCAGUAGACACCAGCACAAGACCCACGUAGAUCCACUGCGUGUAUCUCCUCAGUCCAGGGCAAUGAUCCCUCUCUAUAUCAGUGAAUGUGGACCUCACGAAGUUACACCCUCGCAGAUCUGCCAAGAAUGGACCAUACUUGUACAGACCAUAGCUUACGUUAACUGCUGCAGCCAUCUGGGUGUAAUGAUCUGGGGUCAGACGUCCGGGCGUGCUACAUAUUCCCGGUGUUAUAUAUUUGCAAGUGUAGUUCUUCCACACCUGGAUAAAAAAACCAUAUCAUAAGAAAUAUUAUGAAACAAAAAAAAAAAAUUAUAAAGACAUGUUCUGUUUUAAAUUAGUAUUUAAUUUACCUCAGUUGCAUUGCUGAGAUGGACCUCACCGGGCUUGCACAGGUGGUCAGAGAGAUCAGCAUUGAAGGGGUUACAGAGCAAAGGCAUUAGGGGGCCCGACUGGUUGUAAUAAAGGGGUCGGGCUUGAGGCGGGAAGUUCUUGUUGGCGAUGGUGUUCAUGAAAUUGUCAACAAUUUCAACCAACUGGUACGUCACAAGCUUUGUCUGACUCAAUGUUUCGGUCGCGGUUGCGUUAUCAACGCACGGUAGAAUAUCGUCUAGAGCGGUGUGAGCUUUCGGGUGUUGCACCCAUUGGUCCAUGGCCACACACGUAUCCCCAACAACGCUGACAAAGGCAUAAGAAAUGCUUUUAUUGAGAAACAUUUUUUAAUGCAUUGAAGAGUAGACAAAUUGAACAAAAACUCACUUGUGUAGAAGGAGAAAUACACCACACAAGACGAAAGUGCCGGUGACAAGAAUCCAACCAAGGAUCACUAACCUGUCCAUUGUUAAAUCACAAAGUAAUUUUUAUCAGCAUAAAACGGUAACACGUGGAAAAUGAGAAUGAGACUUCACUUACGUGUAUACAAGGCACUGCAGUCCAAAGAUGGAGAGUACUGUAACAACAAUGAAAAUAAUCAACAAGUUAAGUGCUGCUGCGAGAUGUAAUCAAUAAUAAUAAUCCCUAAGACGACUUACAGAAUCCAAUGAACGCAAGAAAAAGCAUCACAGCAGCGAUGAUGAUGAGCGCAAGUCUCCUGCAAC